CCCUAUAUAUGUAAGAGAGAGAAAGGUUAGAAAGUACUAACACUAAGAGAUAUGUGCUAUCAAUUAGAAACACUUUAAGAUGACAUUAUCAAUUAGAAAACCAAGUAUUAAGCAGCAUAAGGGAAAAUAACAAACAAGGGCACCACAGUGGUUCAGAAACCAAUCAAUAUUUCCAUUUGUCACUUUUAUAAUAAUUUCCCAAGGGAAAAUCCUCAUAAUAAGCUUGAGUACCACCUAAUAACGUGUUCAAAUGUUACCAUAAGCAAAAAUGAGUGAUCCUAAAAUUCAUAUGACAAGGAAAGUCGUCAACUAGCAAACCGCCAAAUAACAGUUAUAUGGCUAGAAUUAGUUUUCUCCAACUUCAAGAAAAUAAAACAUAUUAAAACAAAAGGAAUUAUGGUGCAAAAUAAUGAAUAUGCUGCAAAGGUAAGAAGUUUCUGAAGGUAAAAAUGGUCAAUAAAAAACAACAUAUAAUUUGACGUAAAUCAAAGUAGAAUUAUUUCUCGCAAUGAAUUCUCUGCCAAUAAUGGCUAAGAGAAGGGGUAUUUAUUGAGAAUUAGUUAACCAGGCAGAAAUCAUCUAGGGCAUAGUAUUGUUUUAGGUCUGCGACAUUAAAAACAUAAUGAAUGUGUAAGUCUGGUGGUAGUUCUAUUUUGUAAGCAUUAUCUCCGAUCCUCUUUAGGACACGGAAUGGUCCUAAUUGUCUGUCUUUUAGUUUGUUGUAUGUUUCGAUUGGAAAUCGAUUUUUUCUUAGGUGAAUCAUUACUAAAUCUCCCUUGGUAAAGGUAGUUUGUCUUCUUUUUCUGUCUGUUGCGUCUUUGUAGGACUGAGUUGUUUCUUUUAGGUGAUUGUGGACUUCUUCGUGUAAAUUCUGGAUUUUUUCUAUCAUCUUUUCUGCCUCUGAUAGUUAGGGAACUCAACACAUUUUACUUGACCUAACCAAGAUGGCUCUUUGUAUGUAUAUUGCAUGUGUUGUUUGUUUUUUUCUAUAGCUCUUGAUUGUCUCACUUUUUUACGUUUUGCAUUUGCAAUUCUCUUUUCUUUCUUUGGUAUGCAAUGUGGUAACAAGGUCUUGCUAGAACCGGUGGGCUAACCUUUCUAUGGUUCUAAACUUAGUUUCUAAGUUUGACUGCUCCCUUCGGAGUGACAACAAGCCUCGUUUUCCCCUACUAUGGAACGGGGAGGAUUCAUUUUCUUUUCAAAGCCCUCGUCAAACUCAAUGCUAAGUUUGACUGCUCCCUUCGGAGUGACAACAAGCCUUGUUUUCCCCUAAUGUGGAUCGGGGAUGAUUCCUUCUCUUUUCAAAGCCCUCAUCAAACUCGAUGCUGUGCUUAGAACGCUAAGAGUAGGUGGUCUGGUUUUGGUUAGGCCAAAAGUGAAGUUUUCCCCCAUUUUUUAUGGGCUUUUUCUAAUGUAUAUUGGAUAUGUUGUUUGAUUUUUUUUAUAGCUCUUGAUUGUCUUACUGUUUUAUGUUUUGCAUUGUCAAGUCUCUGUUUUCUUUCUUUGGUAUGCAAUGUGGUAACUAGGCCUUGCUAGAACCGGUAGGCUAACCUUUCUAUGGUUCUACAUUUAGUUCCUAAUUAAGUUUGAUUGCUCCCUUCGGAGUGACAAUAAGUUUUGUUAAUGUCGACCCUUUUCUAAAGGGAUUUAGUUCACUGUGGCUAGGCAAGAGGUUUCUAACUCAUGUUUGACAAGACAAAUUUGUUAAAACCAUCUUAGUUUCUAAAGAGUGCCUCCUAUCCCUUUUUUACUCUAUCUAGGCUAGGUUUGGACUAAGUGCAUCAUAGGUAAGUCACGACAAAGCAACAAAGGAAGACAAAGCUAGAAAAGUAUUCAUGCACUUAUUUAUUAUACAUGCAAUCAAGCAUUCACAACAUACAUACCAUUUUCUCAAUCAUGCAUUCACACCUCAAUAAGAAAUAGCUAAAAGGAGCUUACAACAAAAAAGACAGCCGCUUAUUCUCAAAUUUCAGCACAUAUACUCAUCAAAAUUUAGAAUUUCACAUUGCAAACCCGAGCUCAGUGCUCAAGGGUUGCCAAUCAUGCUUUUUAUGCAAGAUCUAAUUAAGCUAAGAAGGUAUAAUGCUCAUUUUGUAUGGAAAGAAUUCUGAAAUUUUUUUUAAAUUUGGGCAAAAUUUGAACCCCGAAGUUUAGACUAAACAUGCAAGCUAAGCAAGCUAUUACCCACACCCACUCAAAAAAUUGCUUUGUCUGUCCUAAAAGCUUUUGAAAAUCAAAGUAAAUGGAGAAAAAUAAGGGGGGAACUUUGGACUCCCCUAGAAGGAUCGACAUCCUUGACUUUGGUUUGAAGCUUGCAUGGAUAAACCUUUUCAUUCCUUUUUAAUUGAUUAUUCAUCCUUGUUCCUGAAAAUCAAAGGAAAUUCUCUCAAUUUUAUAUAUUACUAAAAUUAGGAUACAUAUAAGUCUUAACUAGUCUAAUAGCACCCUCCAUUCAUCUUCCCCUACACUGGCUAUGGUAUCAAAAUUUUCAAUUAAGUAAUACGUCUACUAACGAACUUGAAAACAAAACACAUCACACUAAAAAACACAAACAUCACUUUAACCCAACAGAAGCUGCUCUUUUUACCCUUGCACUCACUAUCACAUUACUAUCAUGUUUGUCAACUGUCAAACUAACUCUUUUAAGUUAUUUAGUGUGACUACAAAGUUAUGAACACCAUAAUCUUAAUUAAAACCUUUUAAUAAACAAAUGCCAAGUUACUACUCAACAAUGGCAAGGAAUUCAAAAAACAUGACUGUAACGACCCAACUUUUCUAGGUAAGUCGAAGUCAUUAAUUUCAAAUAAGGACCUGAGUUUACACAAAAUCUCAAUCUCAAACAAUUUCAAAGUCUCAAGAAAAACAAAAAUUUAUAUCUGGGCCCUGUUUAAAAUAACCAGCACCUUCAAGACAAAUUUACUAAUUCGUGAAUACAAUUCAACUAUAAAAUUUUCUAAACAAUCUCAAGUACUAAACAAAACACGUGAAACAAAACAUUUAGCGGAAGCAAUUUAAAAUAACCCCUAUGGCAAUCACGCUUCCUUUCUGCCCCUCGCCGGUUUGCCGUCUUUAUUAUCUUUGCCUGAAAAUUAAAUAUAAGGAGGGUGAGUAUAAAAAUACCCAGUACGAGACCCUCUACUGGUCCCGUCAGGGUAAAAUAAAUUGUUAACAUUCUAUUGGGACACCCUGUACAGUCACAGUCUUGUGAUCCCGUAGGAUGCACAUUUCAGUCUAACGCCCCGAGGGACGUACAUUUCAGUCUAGUGUUCUGCAGAAACACAUAUCAGUCUAAUGCUCUUGAAGGUGCAGAAUAAUUGGUGAUCCGUGUGACACCUACAAGGCACACAUCCCAAUAAAAGCUAACAAUUUUUCCCCUCAGUCCAUUCUAAACAUCUUAACAGUCAUUCACAGAUCAGUUAAACAUUCUCAUCACGUAAACUCUUUAUUUAACCUCAAACAGUCGUCUUACUCUAAUUUAGUCCAAGGUCAAUAAAAAAACAUAUCAUUACAUCAGUUAACAAGCUAAACAAUCAUAACCUCCUCCUCAGUCACCAAGGGCACCACCAUGACGUUUCUUCCGUUCACAAGCACACAACAUAACAGUAGAUUAUACACUCAGUCUAGACAACAAUCAAUCUACUAAUCAAAUCCACACUUUAUAUAAGCAACAUCUACGAGAUUCAGUCGUUUCCACAUCCUUAUCUUUGUACACAUACAUAACCAGACAGUCAUAACAUAUACUCAACCACAGUCUACAUCAAUCCAUGCACAUAUAUGUAUUAAUUUCUCCCAGUCAAACAUAGCAAACAUUAAACUUUAAGUCAAUGCCCAAACAUACAUCAUAACAGUCAUCUCUACUCAGUUCAAAUCAAUACAUCUUAAUUAGUCAUUAUAUCUUAAUUUUAUUGUUGAGUCUAGUAGAAAAUCCCUUACUUUCAAGUUAGUUAAGCUCCUUAACCACGUUGAAGUCUACGAAGAACGAACCUAAACAUUAAGACAAUUUCUCAAUAAUUCUCAUCAAUCAUUUAAAUUCAACCCAAUGUGAUUUUUUUUUUACAACUUACCCAAAUCUUCACAAAACGAGUUCCAACUAGAAUCAAUUGUUUGGUGCGAACCCAAUGAAUUCGAGUGUUACCUUCAACCUAUAAUCGAUAUAAUCGAACAGUAAACGAUUUAUCCAACCAAUUAUUCCAGCAAUAUUACUUGAGUUUAUUUUGGAAACAGUUACAAAUUUCAUAACUUCAAUCUUACCAAUCAAAAUUUAAUGACUCGUGGCAAAGCAGGAACGACAGCGAACAACCCAAUCGAAUGGCGUGGGUUUGCUACCUGCGGCAGGACGAAGAAGGAACUCGACGCGCAGAAAGUUGGAUCUGGGGUCUUUAGUUCGGUUCACGGUAGCGAAUUAAAACCUGAUUGCGCGGACGUCAAAGGUGUUAUUCGCGGAAGAAGUCGAGCAGCAGCUUUGCGAAGAGACGACGUGCGACGGAGAGACUGUAUACAGACGGACGGAGAGUCGCGCGGCAGUGCAGAAAACGGAGGAGAAAGGAAUGGGCGGCGGCUGGGCUUGGCUUCGACGGAGACAGAGGCGAUUAGGACGGGGCACGGCGACGCAGAUCUGGACGACGGCGCGGAGACAGAGGUUGCGCGGCGCUGGGCAGAGGGUCAAACGGCGCUGGGCGAAGGGUCACACGGCGCUGGGCGGAAGGUCACACGGCGGCCUUGCUUCGCGAACAGAGAUGGCGGCCGACGGUUGCAGCGGCGGCUGGGUAUGGUAGAAAAGAAAGAGAAACGGAAGAAGAAUAGGGGCGGCGACCGUGGAUCGGAGAAGAAAAGAAGGAUGAAAGCGAUGGUGGCCGGUUGGAGGGUGCGGCUGGAGGUAGGGAUCGGUGAAGGAGAAAAUAGAAAAAGAAAAUGAAGGGGAAAUGGGGGUUGCGCGCGGGAGGAAGAAGAAAGGAAAAAAAAUUCUUUUUUUUUUUUCUUUUCUUUUAUUUAAAUUAAAUAAUAAAACUAAAAUAUGUGUAUUGAUCAAAUGACCCAUAUCAAUAAGGACACAAAAUUGGCAAAGAACAAAUAAAUUAAAAUGGACAAUAACUCUUGUUUCAUUACUUUCUCUCUCAUUGGAGUUCUUUUGUUCACCAUCAUUUCAAAUGUGGCAUCAUCUAACGACGUUGUUUCUACCAUCUGUUCAGAAAUCUCAAAUCCACAAUUUUGUUUAAGUGUGUUGAAAUCUGCAGGCACUACAGAUCUAAAAGGCUUGGCUGUAUACACCUUAAACCUUGCUCAUUCAAAUGCUGGCAAAUCUUUGAUCCUAGCCAACUCACUAGCAAAAGCCACCACCAAUCCUCAACUUAAGCAACGAUAUUCAUUUUGUGCUGAGAGCUAUGAUGAAGUUGUUGGUGACAUUGAAAAUGCUCAAAAACGACUUGGCACUUGGGGACUUUAUUGGUGUCAUUAUUGCAACUACUGGUGCCAUGACAACUCUUGGUGAUCACUGUCAGAAUAAGCUCUUGCAGCCGCCGAAGGAUACAUCGUUGCUUUUAAAGAAUAGCAACACUCUAGAUGAUAUAAUUUAGCAUUAUUAUGGUUAUAUCCGAUCAUCUUUGAGGGUUAUGUACUUGAACAUUUUGAUCAAUAAAUAAACUGAAGUUUAAUUUUUAAAAUAAUAUUACAAUGUGAUGGUGAUUGGAAUUGAUUACUUACUUUGAUUAAACUUGAGAAGAUAAGAAAAUCAAUUAAUAGAAACGUUCACCGACACACAUUGUCAGCACGUCGGAGAAAGCCUAAACUUUUUUUUCUUUUCUUUUACGUUCUGUUUUCUUUUCUUUGUUUGCCAUCAUCAUCAUCAUCUUCUUCUAGCUUCUUACGUUCUGUUUCAAUUGCAUACUUCUGUUAUUCUUGUAAUUUCUUCGUGGUUUUCUUUUUAACUUUGUGUUUCAGUGUGGAUUCAUAAACACAUUUUUCAGUGCUCUGGAUUCUGGAUCUGUUAUGAUUUUGAAAGGGUACAGUGAAGUGAAAAGUUGAAAUGGAAAAGAAAAAAAGAAGAAAAGAGGACACUUCUCGCGGUGGUGGCGGCAAAGACUGACGUCGACGACAACACAACUCUCCUCCUCUCCCUAUAUCUCGGCCGAUUUUGGGUUUAUUUUCGUUUUGCAUUCUGUUAUGUGUGGAAGGGAGAAUAAAUAGUGUGGACUUUCCCCGACGUCUUCGAAAACGUUGGGAAAUUUACCUUUCGCCGACGUAUGUAGUACACACGUCGGAGAAAGUUUAAAUAAUAAAUUCAUUAUUUAAACUUUCCCCGACGUACUCCUGUCAUACGAGUCUAAAUUAAAUUUAAUGCGUUCUCCUUCGGCGAUGUGUGUCAAGGUGACGUUGGAAAAAGUUUAAACACUAAUGCAAUUAUUUUAAAUCACAUAUGUUAUCGCUUAUAUGGCAUAGGAGUCUAUUAACGAUAGAAAUCUAUCUUGAUAGGUUUUUGCUACAUUUACAAUGUUUAAAAAAUAUUCUUAUAUACUUAACUAUUAUUCCUAAAAUUGCUAACCCAUUAUACUUACCCUUAGUUAAAUGUAUAAUGUCAAAAGUAAGUUUACUACGAAGGUAAUCUAUGUGACCCUUUUAUCCUAACGUAGGAAGUUUGUUCCACUCCAUACCAUUAUUGAACUAAAAGGAUUAAGUGUGUAUUAAUAUGUUUAAACAAGUAUAAUUAUAAGCAAAAUCUAUAAGUGAUAUAUUGAUAUUAGCAAUACAAUACGCGUCACAUAUGCAAACAUUUUGUGUCUAAUCGUUGUAUUUACAAUUAACUCCAUUAAAAUAUUACAAAUAGAAAUAGAACUCUUUAACCUAUGUUCAGUUAGGAUCACAAACUACAAAAUGAAAGCAUGGAACAAAUUUAAUUUUUUUUUUCUUUAAAGGAAAUUUUGUGUGUAGCACAUUAUAUUUUUUUCUUUCCUUUAAAAAACAUUAUUGAUCUUAUGAUAUUUGACAUAUAUUAUAUUUUUUUAAGAAUGUAAAUAAUGUAAAUAAUGUGCCAAAUAAUUGAAAACAUGUUAUCCAAAACAGAGAAUGGUUAAGAAAUUGUUGACAUUUAGUCAAAUUAAUAAAUAAUUCAAAAUUGUGUUUGAUUUUUGAAUUUGAAAAGAUAGUAAAAUUAGAAGUGUUUUGAAAUAGUGUUUACGAGAAGAUUUUUAAUUUUAAAUAGCAUUAUAGUAGCUAUGGAUGGUUAUAUAAUAGUCUACACAAUCUUUGUCACAAAUGAUUAAUUCGAUUUUUUAAAUCAAGUCUAAUGUUUUUUUUUUUUUUUUGCCUAUUUCUUACCCAUAAUUUUUACAUUUUUUGUAAGUAUAAUGGUUGAAUGCAAAAAGAGAGCUGACUAGUAAGUGCAAAAAGAGAUCUCACAAGCUUCUGCAAAAGCUAAUCAAGCAACCCAAAUCAUAAACGAGGAGAAAAGUUGAUUGGUUAAGCUUUGUUGUAGUAAAGAAGAAGUCAAAGUGAACAUGGAACGUUCUUCACUCUCAAAGAACAUCGCCAACAUAUAGAUUAUAUACUUUUUCUGGUAUUGACCCAAAAAACACAAUCCAAGUGUAUUUUUGGUGAGAUGCAUAGUUUAACUAAACCGUGUUAUUACAAAAUUUUUAAUUACUAGGAACUCCUAAUGAAACGAAUACAUUAUUUUUAUAAUUACGAGGUAAAAUGGAAACAUACAAACUACUAAAAAAAGUUGCAAUUCGAUUAUUGGGAUUCAAUCUACUCUCCAUGAAUGUUUCUUGAAAUGAGAGUUUUUAAGCAGCUACAACUUGCUUAUGUAUAAAAGCAAAACCCUUUCUCAACGCCUACCUUCAGUUUUGGCUUUAGAGCUUCAAGUGAUUUUUGCCCCUACUCAGAUAAACCCUGAAGAUCAGAUGUUACAAAGGCUUCAAUUCCACAUGCAAAAAUCAUGUUCAUGAACCAAAAGCACCUUAAGCUUCUCUUCGAUAUCUUUGAGCUCACUGGAUAAAGAACUGAUUUCUAAAGCAAUCAUCUCUACCCAUAUCCUCAUCGUUCCCACUGUCUUUUAAUAAGGUUGGCAUGAUAAUCACAACAAAAGAAGAAGAAACUAAGAUCAAUUUAACAAAUUUUAUGUUGGGAAACUUUUUUAAGAACAACUACUUAUAAACCAACCUUAGCUUUGGCCUCACAUUCCUUGAAUUUUCUAAAAGUAGAUACCACCUGUCCGGGCAACCCACACCAACCAACCAAGAGUAAGUUAGUGUGAAAGACACUUAUUUAAUGAAGAAUAUGUAAAAGAGGUCAUUCCAACUGUUACACAUAAUAGUAUUGGAGGCAGAUAACCUUGCCAUACCUCAUCAAGUUCUGAUAUUGAUUGAGCUAGUUUUUGAUACUCUGUGGGGUUUGAGACAAUAUCUGGAUUGACCAGCUUAACCUAAAUAAUAAUAUCGAUAGUGAUUAUUGUGUAGGAAAAUAUUAAAGCUAUAACCAAAUCAAAAGCAUAAUUGGAAAUACAUCAAAGAUGUAAAUGCAAAUUUCAAAAGUGGGAUCUACAGAAUGUAAGGGGAAGAAACUCAAAUAAAAUUACUUUAUUAUUAGUUAUAACGACUACUAAUAGAGAUUCCAGAUACACCACAGUUCCACGUCCUCUUUCAGGAGGAAAGCAAUGGUUAAAAAUUAAUUGUGAAAACUAAAGAAGGUCCUGUUCAAAUCCUAACAGCAAUAGGAAAGCAAGGAGUUAUAAGGUGAUCACUAUAGGCCAAAUCCAAAAUGCAUUCAAUAUUUGUCUUCCAAUUUCAUUAUCAAGUGCAUAGGCAAGGUCCCUAGUGAGGAAGUUAUUCGUUCUUUUCUUCAUUUUCUAUAGCUCUAGAAGUAGCUAAAUGGAAUCGUCAAGCACCUAAUCUAUUAAUUUUAAAACUCAAAAGUUCACCGCGGGAUUCUAGUCACUGCUGAAACAACAUAGAGUUCACUAGUUCCACAGUUAAAUUAAUUGCAAAUUGCAUUUCCUGGCAUUUUCAAGAAAAAAAAAAUGCACAAAUCAUAAUAUGAUGAAGUAGAAAAAUUUUGUGAGCUCGACUUUUCCAGGACAUAUCUUAGCUACUUCUCCUAUUCCAGCUCGAUAACCAUUGUACUUUAACAAUUGAAACAUUAAUCCAAUAGUUAACAAUGUUCUGCACUUUAUGCCCUUUACAUUUCCAACAACUUGAUGCAUACAUCAGUAGUUAACACAGGCACGAGCUCUUAAAUUCAAUGCAAAAUAAACAGUCCCAUUCCAAGCAUAGACACCAAAUACAAACAAUUGAUGGACUUGAAUCAGUGAAGAAAUAAGAAUGUCAUUUAACAGCAAAGCACAAAUUACCGAUAAUUUUUUCCACGUCUUCUCAGCAGAUUCCAAUUUCACGAUCAAAUAAGGUUCCUAAAAUAAAGCAAUCACCAUCAUCAUUUUCCACAAAUAUGAUUCGAACUAGUUUUACCACAAAUUAAUUUCUAGUAACUUGAAGAAAAACUCAGUGAACUCAAAGCAUAACGAAACUCAAGUUCUGUUAAAGCCAAUCCGAACAAUAAGAUAUAGACAUAUUGUGUUCUCGAAAGAAAAACAUUCAAUAAAUCUAACAGCCAUGCAAAUUAGAGUUGAAGCUCUAAAGGGAGGUGCAAAGCAUUUUAAGUUCCAGAGAGCAUCUUCUGAAGGCGAUGAGCCCAUAAGAUGAAAAAAAGGCCUCAAGUGAGGAAGAAAGACGCCAUCCAAACAUGAAAAAAGGAAGAAAGGCAAGAUUUUGGUAGCUCCAGACCUGAGGGAAGCCAACAAGGUGGCGAGGGAGGCAAGGCCCCAAAGUUUUAGCAUUGCCAGCAAAGUGAAGGUAGAGAGGACCACAGCGACACUUUCCUUUCUGACGUGGCGCCUCCGAGAGUUUAUGGACGCCCCAAUUGGGGCGUUUGGAUGGAGUAAGUUCUUCAAGGGACUUCCAAGAUUCGAUGGAGGUUGUCAAGAAAUUCUACGCAUUCAGAUUACAACCACUACAAGGAAUUUCAGAUCAACCACACAACAAUUUAACACUAUUGGGAGAAUCCACGAAUUCUUGGUCAAGUAGAAGAACCUCCAUGUGGAAGAAACAAAUUGUGAACGUGUCGAAGACCUUGAAGUGUGGAAAUGGAAGAUCAAAGAGUUCCAGCUUCGCCAGUCGACAGGGACGUCAACUGUUUAAGUAGGGGAGAAUGUCAAGAGCAUGCUUGUCCAAGGCAUUGUUUGCCCAUGGCCGCAUGGCCGAACAUCCUCAAACCGCCUUAUAUUUAUGUCUUAUAACUUAGUUUAGCCAUUUUGUUUCCUUUUGUUGUCGCCGACCUAGGGUGUGACGUUUCAAAAUUUUCAUAUGCAAGUCUGUCAUAGCUAAAAAUGUUUAAAAUGUACUAUAGGGAAGACAUAGUAGUUGAAUCCCUGACCAAGCCUUGUUGCACUCUUUGCAUUCUAAUCUUUCUUUGCAAUUAACAGUCUUCAAUGCUUUCUUUAACAGAUGUGUUUUCAAUUCUUUUCUUCUCUUCUUGUCUUAUAAAAAUAAAUUUCUCUCAAAACAUGAAAGAGGCUAUACCGUACUGCGUGCUUUUUUUGCGACUUCUGGAUUUCAUACAGCUUACUUGUUCACCGAGCUAGAACAAACGUCGCAUAAUCACCAUCCCCUAUUUGAAAAUUUACGAUUAUGACAGCAUGCGGUGAGGUGCACGCGGCAUGUGUGGGCCCAAGCCAAGCAUGCAACUGGCAUUCUGAUACUCUAUGCACGUGCAUGCUGCCUGCGCCCAUGCCCGUGCAGCCAGCAUUGUCAUGACGUAGUUUUUGGGAUGUUUGGUGUUUUGGGAAAUUUUGAGCAAAUUCUGGAUGUUCGAGCAUGCGGAUGUUCUAUGCAAUGCAACCAGCAGCCCAUAUGUUCUAUGUUCUCUUUACGGUCGUAUGUGCACAUUUGGUUAACUCUACUACUACUAAUGGGAAAGUUGACGAGCCUAUGCUGAAUUCAUCAGGAAAGGUGUACUUUGUUGAGCCCAUUGAGGAGAAGGAUACCUUCUUUUUUUCGAAGAGGUGUUUCAAUGCCUAGGCCGUCUUUUGACAAUGAGGUGUUAAUAUUACCUAGACUUCAUGCUAAGAACGGGUUGUGAAUUUAUAAUCAAGAAUGCAGUUCGAGUAUCAUGUCUUUCAAAUGAUUUCCAACAGCUUGAAUGUUUCUAUAAGACAAGAAUUUAUGCUUAACUGUUUUAGAAAGCAUGUUUUAUAAAAAUUGUCACUCACUAAGUCUUUCGACUUAUCCUUUCAAAUCAUUUCUCACUUUUCAGGUAUGGAUUAUGCAUUCCCUAAUGUUAAGCGUAUUGCUUGCUGAGCCAACCAGUUACUAGAAAUUGUUAAGUCAUUUUGAAAGUUAGUUUUGACUUUGUAAGAAAAGUUCAGGAUGAGCAUGUCUAUGUUUAUUGUUAAAGUUCCAAUGUUAUAAGUUAGUUUAGUAAAAAGGUCACUGUCAUGUUUAAAGCUUCUGCUGAUGUAUCACAAUAGUUGUAACUAGUGGUUUAAGUUAUUAGUUAAAGCAUGUAGCUUGUGUAUCGCUGUUUGUUUUGAGCAUGCAUUCAUGUUGUAACUGGUAGUUAAGUUAGAAAGGUUAGUCGGUUGGUAAGUUUUGCCAAGGUAUGGCAAUCCUUGCCAACCCUCGCACCUUCUUUCAGAGCUAGAUGUUGUUCAGAAAAUAAGGAGCUUUGGGAGGGGGUGGUGACAACAACACCAUCCCACUAGAGUACGCAAAUGAUGCAUUAUUGUUUAAUUAAGUCAUAUAUAACUUCCACAAUUUGGAUAGGAAUUUAACUCAUUAGAAGGUGUCCUAUAGAAUUUCUCAGUGAAAAGUUCAGAGAAGCUACAAACAAAUGUCACUACCGAACAACAAUCAUAUACAUGGGUUAGGGCUUUGAGCAGCUGUGAACACAACUUAAUAAUAAAUAUGAAGUCGUCCUCUUUUCAUCAUUAGUCAGAAGAAUUCUUAAACUUUCUAAAAAUAAUUGUCAAAUAAUUGAUUAUAUAGUAUGCCAUUUAUUUGGAAUAUACAAUUUUUUCAUUACCAGGAAAGGAGACUUCUCACUAAGUAAAUGUAAAGAGACUAAUGCUAUAAUUUGAAUUGGAAAAUAUAAUUUCAUAAUUAAGCAUCGAAUAGGGACUAGUUAAGAAGUACACACUUUAGUUUGCCAGAGUCCAUGUUCUACACAUGUUAGCCACUCUGUCAUUGGUUUAGCAGUAAAACAAAGGAUGUGUUUAGGAAUGUGAGCCACACAAAAGGGAAAGAAAACAGAAGGCGCAGUGAGCCACACAAAAGGGAUCGAAACGAAUGUUCAGAAAUAUCGGAAGGAUCGAAGAAAUAUGGAAGGAAAGACGAGGAAAAAACAACAGACCGGAGCAAGUUCAAGAAGGUAGAGAUCCCGAUCUUCAAUGGAAUAGACCCCGAUUCAUGGUUAUUUUUCGCGCCGAUCGUUAUUUCAAAUGCAAGAUACACAAGUUGACUGACUCAGAGAAGUUAAUGGUAGCGGUAAUCAGUUAUUAGGACCAGCUUUGGAUUGGUAUAGAUCAAUUGAUGAAUUGGAACAAUUCAAGAGUUGGGAAGAUUUGAAGCAAAGGUUGUUGUCCGAUUUCAGAGACGAUUCGGGAUGGAACACUCGUAGGCAGAUUCUUAAGGAUUAAGCAGGAAACGACAGUAGGGGAAUAUAGAAACAGUUUCGAUAAAUAUUUAGCUCCGGUAGCCUUCCUCCAGACCAUAGUAUUAGAAGAAACCUUUAUGAAUGGGCUAAGCCCAUGGCAUAAAUCCGAAGUUGAAACGCUGGAGCCCAUAGGUUUGGCCAAAGAUGAUGUAACUAGCCCUGAAAUUGAAAAUAGAGAGAUGGUUCGUCGAGAAUGUGGGCUUAGUAGUGUUUCGGGAAUGAAUCAACAAUUCAAGCAUAAUAACGUAAAGCAAACCUCGACAGUAAACACCCAAUCAGAAACCCACGGAAGGGAGCUGGCCAAUGAGAAACGAUUACGUUAAAAAGAGUGACGGCAGAUGAAAAGAGGAGGGAAGGUCCGACCAAGCGUCUUUCCAACGCUGAAUUUCAAGCACGGAGGGAAAACGGUCUGUGUUUUCAGUGUGAGGAGAAGUAUCACGAGCUGGACAUAGGCGUAAGGUGAAGGAACAGAAGGAAUUACGGAUGUUAGUAGUAAAGGAAAUGGGAGAAGAACUGGAAAUCAUUGAGGAUGAACACUUUGAUGUGGAAAACGGAGGCCCAGACCAUUGAAAUUGAAAAAGUGGAGAAUAUGAAUAUAGAGCUGUCCAUUAACUCAAUUGUGGGGUUAUCCAACCCUGGAACCAUGAAACUGAAAGGGAAGAUAAAAGAGACCAAAGUGGUAAUAAUCAUCGACAGUGGAGCCACCCACAGUUUUAUUGCAAAAAAUUUUGUAACCACCCUUAGCCUACCAAUGACAGAAAAACGUCCAACUAUGGAGUGAUUUUGGGGAUCAGGGGUUGCGGUCAAAAGGAAAAGGAAUCCGCAGUAAUGUUGAAGUGACGGUAGGAGAGUGGAAAAUUACAAACAACUUUUUACCCUUGGAAUUAGGGGUGGUUGCACUCAUUGGGCAUGACUGAAUUUGAUAUGAAAAAUUUGGUGAUGACAUUCCGACAUGGAGGAAGGAAGAUAGAGAUAAAGGGGGACCCUAGUGUCACCAAAACCCAAGUGAGCCUAAAGUCUAUAAUUAAGACAUGGGGAGCUGAUAAUCACGGUUAUUUGGUAGAAUGUCGGGCCAUGGAGGGAAGGCUAGCUGAGGAAGGCUUAGAGGAUGAAGAAGUGCCAGCCACUGUUGACAACAUGAUCUCUCCUCUGUUGAGCAAAUUUAAUGAUGUUUUUGAUUGGUUGGAAGAGCUGCCUUCGAAGAGGAACAUUGAGCACCAUAUACCCCUUCAGAAGGGGGUGGAUCCAGUUAAUGUCAGACCUUAUCGUUACGCACAUCGGCAAAAGGAGGAAAUUGAAAGACUAGUUGAUGAAAUGUUGAAGACAGGCAUCAUAUGACCGGGUACCAGUCUGUAUUCCAGCCCAGUCCUUCUCGUGAAAAAGAAAGAUGAUAGCUGGCAAUUUUGUGUAGAUUAUCGGGAGUUGAACAAUGUCACUAUCCCAGAUAAGUUCCCAAUUCCGGUCAUAGAUGAGUUAUUCAAUGAGCUGAAUGGGGCCAACAUGUUUUCGAAGAUUUAUUUAAAGGCGGGUUAUCACCAAAUCAGGAUGCAUCUGAGAGGUGUAGAGAAGACGGCCUUUCGAACACAUGAGGGACACUAUGAGUUCUUGGUCAUGCCGUUUGAGCUAACCAAUGCCCCCUCUACGUUCCAAGCAUUAAUGAACCACAUCUUUAAGCCUUAUAUGAGAAGAUUCGUAUUAGUGUUUUUCGAUGACAUUUUGGUGUACAACAGGGGAGUAGAAGAACAUGGACAGCAUCUGGAAGUAGUCUUGGAGAUCCUUCGAGAGAAUGAAUUGUAUGUGAAUUUAGCCAAAUGUUGCUUUGCCAAAAGUAGAAUAGGUUAUUUGGGGCAUUUCAUAUCCGAAAAGGGAGCUAAAGUUGAUCCAGAAAAAAUAAGGGCAAUUAGGGAAUGGUCGAUUCCCACUAGUGUGCGAGAAGUUCGAGGUUUCUUAGGACUCAAUUGAUACUAUAGGAAGUUUGGGCAGAAUUAUGGCAGUAUCGAAAGCCCUUUGACACAGCUUUUGAAGACAGGAACUCAUUGUUGGACUGAAGAAGCAAGUGCUGCCUUUGAGAAGUUGAAGAUGGCAAUGAUGAUUCUACCGACGUUAGCUAUGCUGGACUUUAAUCUACCACUCGAGAUAGAAACAUAUGUAUCUUGUUUUGGUGUGGGGCCGUUUUAGUACAAGCCAAGAGACAAAUAUCCUUCUUUAGUAAAACCUUAUGCAUGUGGGAUAGAGCGCGACUGGUUUAUGAAAGAGAAUUGAUAAUAGUAAGUGUUUUGCGGUGCAAAGGUGGAGACCAUAUUUGUUAGGGAAGAAAUUUACAGUGAAAACUGAUCAGAAGUCGCUCAAAUUUCGGCUAGAACAAAGGGUGAUUCAACCCUAAUACCAAAAAUGGAUAGCCAAUCUUUUGGGAUAUUUCAUUUGAGGUAGUCUGCAAUCCUGGGAUUGGAGAAUAAGGCAGCCGAUGCUCUAUCUAGAACACCCCGUAUAGUGCACUUAAAUCAAAUAUCAGCCCCAACACUACUCGAUUUAGUGGUGAGUCAAGAAGAGGAAAAGAGGGAUCAAUACCUACAGGAAAUCCAGAAGAAAAUAGAAAGAACAAAAAGUGAAAGUUCCAAACUUUUCAGUACAGCAAGGGGUAUUGAAAUACAAAGGAAGGUUGGUGAUGUCAAAAACAUCCGUUCUACUACCCACUAUUCAUGCAUACCUAUUCAUGAUUUUGUCUUUGGAGGACAUUCAGGGUUCCUAAGAACGUACAAGAGGAUGACCGGAGAGAUUUACUAGGAAGGAAUGAAGAAAAACAUAAAGAAAUACUAUGAAGAAUGUCUUGUAUGCCAAAGGAAUAAAACACUUGCAUUAUUACCUGCUGGAUUGCUGCUGCCACUUGAGAUUCCUAACACAGUGUGGUCGGAUAUUUCCAUGGAUUUUAUAGAUGGACUUCCAAAAUCAGCUGGAAAAGAAGUGAUUUUUGUGGUUGUAGAUUGUCUGAGUAAGUAUGCACAUUUUUACAGCUAUAAAUCAUUCUUACAUGGCCAGCUUCGUAGCAGAAGUUUUUGUUAAAGAAGUGGUGAGAUUGCACGGGUAUCCGCAGUAAGUUGUAUCGGAUCAAGACAAAAUCUUUAUUAGUCAUUUCUGGAAGGAAAUGUUCAAGUUAGUGGGAACUAAAAUAAAUAGAAGGAAAUGUUCAGGUUAGUGGGAACUAUGCCCAUAUACACCAAGUUCGAAUAUAGAACUUGCUUCUUACUGAAAAAAUAAUGAUUAUUGGGACUUGCUAUAAAGGGUAUCCAAUACUCGAAGUAAAUGAAUGAUUACAAAAUGAUUGUUUCCUCAGUUUGAAGAAGAACAACAAAAAAGAAAAGAAGGAUAAAAAAAAAAAAAAACAAACUUUCUUUUUGAAAUUCUAAAAGAAUCCAAAAAGACUUCAAAAGGUGCAACCAAGAAAGGAGGUCAAAGAAGGGCUCUGAUAGACCCCCCUAUCAUACGUCAAUAUAGUCGAAAAAAAAAGAGAGAGAUCACAAGGGAACACACAUGCGAAGAAGAAAAGAUUUAAAGGACUGUUAGAAGAAAAGAUUUAAAAAGCUUGUUGGGCGUCGGUUAGAUUUGAGGAGAUUUAGGAGGGUCGUUAGGUGUUGAUUAGAAUAAAUAAGGAUAGGGAGGAAAGAGGAGGGUAUGCUGAGUUUAGAAGAAAAUUGACUCAUGCUCUUCCUUGAGCGAUAGGAUAGCAGAGAGGGAAUUAGAUUGUUUUUCGAAUUGAGUCCUCCUCAAUUUGAGUGUUCUGAUAUUUUGAUUUUCCUUGUAACUCAUUCUUUGAUUGAAGCAAUAAAAGUUCUAAUUGGAUUUCCAAAAGAGUUCUAUCAAAUUGGUAUCAGAGACAGUUUUUUCUGACCAAGAGGAAAAUGAUGGUCCAAACACGAAUGAAGGAGAGAAUGGAGGCGCACGACCAGGAGAUGCAUUUGAUGAGAAGCGAGAUAAGCAAAAUUUCGACAAUGAAAGAAAUAUUAGCCACGAUCAGCGUACAGACAAAGAAGACUCACAAAAUGUUGAUAAUGUUCAUGGAAUCGAUUACCAGAGAGCAUAUCGUUAUGAGUGAGAAAAUGGCCGAGUCGAGUGUGCGAGAGACAGUAUCAACAAUAACGAAUAAGAAGGAAGGCUCGAUCGAAAAGGACCAUGAGCACGAAACAAAGGAUGGAAAGAUAGAAGGAGAAGACGGAGCGAACGAGCAUAAUAAGUUCAAGAAGGUUGAGAUGCCAGUUUUCAACACGGAAAAUACCCAAUUUUUGACCCUUUCGAGCAGAUAGAUAUUUUCAGAUACACAAAUUGACUGAUGCUGAGAAGGUCCUGGUUGCGACCAUUAGUUUUGAAGGCCCGACGCUGAACUAGUAUAGGGCGCAAGAAGCACACGACAAGUUUACCAGUUGGUCGAACCUCAAGGAGAGAAUACUCAUCCGUUUUCAAUCAGCAAAAGAGGGGUCCAUAUGCGGACAAUUUUUUAGGAUCGGAUAACAGACGACAGUAGAAGAAUAUCGAAACCAGUUAUAUAAGCUGAUGGAACCGUUAUCCGAUCUACAAGACAGAGUGGUGGAGGAAACAUUCAUGAACGGUUUACUGCCGUGGAUUAAAGCAGAAGUGGAUUUUUGUCGUCCGGUCGACGUGGCUCAAAUGGUGCACGCGGCUCAACUCGUAGAAAAUCGAGAGAUAAUUCACAAUGAGGCCAACCUUAAGGGGUACGCCCAAGGAAAAUAUCCGCCUCAAGGUUCUAGGCAAAAUACGAGUGCUGCGACGGUGAACGAUAGCGACAAUAAGAGAAAUACAUUAUUUUCGAUGAGAACGAUUACUCUGAGAACGACAUCCAGAGAAGUUAAGAGAGGGGCAGGCAAAGCGAUUGUUAGACGCGGAGUUUUCAAGUCAGGAAGGAAAAAGGACAUUGUUUUCCGUUGUAAUGAGAUAUAUUAUCAUGAUCAUCGAUGCAAAAACAGAGGGCAAAGAGAGUUGAGAAUGUACGUGGUCAGGGCGAAUGAUGAAGAAUUUGAAAUCAUAGAAGAAGUGGGAGAAAAUGAAUUGUUUGGAAAUCACAUAAGAAGAUCAUGUUGUCAUCGAACUGUCAAUUAAUUCGGUGGUGGGGCUGAACAAUCCGAGGACAAUGAAGGUGAGGGGGAAUAUCAGUGAGCGAGAAGUUUUCAUUUUCAUUGAUUGUGGAGCAACGCACAACUUCAUCUCCGAAAAGAUAGUAAAGGAGUUACAACUGGCCACGAAGGCAACGUCGCACUAUGGUGUAAUCUUGGGCUCGGGGGAGGCGAUAAAAGGUAAAGGAGUAUGUGAGGACGUGGAAAUCAAGUUGAACGGGUGGAAGGUGGUGGAAAAUUUGUUACCCUUAGAAUUGAGAGGGGUAGAUGUUGUGUUAGGAAUGCAGUAGUUGUAUUCAUUGGGCAUGACGGAAGUAGAUUGGAGGAACCUCACAAUGACUUUUGUGCAACAAGGAGAAAAGGUAGUGAUAAGAGGAGACCCAAGUUUGACCAAAUCCAGAGUGAGUCUCAAGAACAUGAUCAAAAGUGUGGAAGGAUUCGUGAUCGAGUGCCGAGCAAUGGAGAGAGUCUUUGAGCCACAGGAAGAUAACGGGAUUGAAGAAGUAUUAACUACUGAUGAAGCAGUAUCGGUCGUGUUGAAGAAUUUUGAAGAUGUUUCUAAUUGGCCGAAGACACUACCCCCGCAAAGAAAUAUUGAACAUCACAUUCAUUUGAAACAGGGCACUGAUCUGGUAAAUGUUCGACCCUAUAGAUACGCUUAUCAACAGAAAGCUGAGAUGGACAAACUUGUGGAUGAGAUGUUGACAGCGGGAAUUAUCCGUCCCAGCAACAGUCCAUAUCUAGUCCAGUUCUAUUGGUAAUGAAAAAAGAUGGCAGCUGGCGUUUUUGCGUAGACUACCAAGCGCUGAACAAUGUAACCAUUCCAGACAAAUUCCCUAUUCCGGUGGUUAAGGAGCUUUUCGAAUGAAUUAAAUGAAGCAAACUGGUUUUCAAAGAUUGAUUUGAAGGUGGGGUACCAUCAGAUCAAAAUGUGUGGAGAAGACAUCGAAAAAGCAGCAUUCCGAACACAUGAUGGACACUAUGAAUUUAUGGUUAUGCCAUUCGGCUUAACUAAUGCCACAUCCACUUUCCAAGCUCUGAUGAACUCAACAUUCAAACCAUUUUUGCAGAAGUUCAUAUUAGUGUUUUUCGACGACAUACUAAUCUACAGUGAGAACUUGGAACACCAUUUGAAGCACAUUGGGUUAGCAUUGGAAAUCCUGAGAAAGAAUGAGUUAUAUGCAAACAAGAAGAAGUGCAGCUUCGCACAAGAACGUAUUGAUUAUUUGGGUCAUAUCAUUUCAAGACAAGGAGUUGAAGUGGACCUUGAGAAAAUCAGAGCAAUCACGGAAUGGCCUAUACCCAGUAAUAUAAGAGAGGUACGGGGAUUCCUAGGCCUCACCUGUAACUAAAGAAAGUUCGUUCAGCACUAUGGCUCCAUUGCCGCACCAUUGAUUCAACUACUUAGGAAAGGGGGAUUCCAGUGGACUGAGGAGUCUAAGGAGGCAUUCCAACAACUACAAAAUGCGAUGAUGACCCUGCCCGUUUUGGCGUUGAAAAAAUUUCAAUGCCACAUUUGAAAUGGAAACCGAUGCAUCGGGAUAUGGGGUAGGAGUCGUACUCGUCCAAGCCAAGCGUCCCAUAGCAUACUUUAGUCAUACGUUAGCCUCAAGAGAUAGAGCCAAGCCUGUACAUAAAAGGGAAUUAAUGGCAGUGGUCUUGCAUGUGCAACGAUGGCGACCAUAUCUGUUGGGGAGAAAAUUUAUUGUGAAGACCGAUCAGAAAUCCUUGAAGUUCUUGUUAGAACAAAGAGUGAUACAGCUUCAGUAUCAGAAAUGGGUAGCGAAGCUAACGGGAUACUCAUUUGAGGUGGUCUACAAACUCAGCUUGGAGAAUAAAGCAGUAGACGCCUUGUCUUGGAUGCCUCCUACAAUUAACCUCGGUAGCAUAACAGCUCCUACAUUGGUUGACAUUCUGGUGACUAAAAAGGAAGUCAAAGCGUAUGAAAAAUUAAGCAAAAUAAUGGAAGAACUACAAGCAAUGGAAGAAGUAACAGAGGGUAAAUUCUCCAUCCGACAAGGUAUGUUAAGAUAUAAGGAUAAGUUUGUGUUGUCCAAAACAUCUACAUUGAUACCCACAAUCCUACAUACUUACCAUGAUUCGGUACUUGUGAGGAAUGUGUAAUAUGUCAGAAGAACAAGUCCCUAGUGUAACGAGCAUACUUGUCCAAGGUGUGUUUACCUAUGGCCGUAUGCUCCGAUUAGCCCCAAUUUACCUUGUCUUUAUGUCUUGCACGUAGCUUAGGUAGUUGCUUUCAAUUUCAAGUCGAUAUGCUUGGGUGUGACGUUUCGGCAUUUUCAUAUGUUAAAAAUGUACUAUAGGGGAGGCAUACCUGUUGAAUCCCUGCCCAAGCCUUGUCGUACUCUUUGCAGUCUAUGCUUUCUUAUUGCAAUUGACAGUCUUCAAUGCUUGUUUUAACAACGUUUUCAAUCAAUUUAAUCAUCUUUCAUGUUUUCUAAAACUAUUUUUCCAAGAACGUGAGGGGAGGUUGAAGUAUGUGUUAAAGUUGUCUGCGAUUUGCAGAUUUUGAUCGGCUGACUUGUUCGCCGAGCUAGAACAAGUGCCGCACAAUCGUUCACAAUCGUGUAUGGGUUUCGUAAGGGUUACACAGUAAAGGAAGAGUAAGAAUUUGAGUGGAGAAACUCCAAAUUGGGAUCAACACGUGGGCAACAACAUGGCUUCUCACCAACAUGAGAACUCAAAAGAGACAGCAGAUAUUCUAGAGAAGCCAAUGAACUCUUGGGAUGUGAAUCUGCACUUUCCUGCAAUAGUUUGAGUGUGAAUUAGUUCUCUGAAAACACCUGCAGAGGAUAAUCCACGGCAAAACAGAAUAACUAUAAAAAAACCACUUGCAAGUAGAAGAAAAAGGAAGUACAUUUAUACCUUCCCUGUCAAAGUGAUAUCCCUCAUCAACGGAUAUGCAUUUCUUUCCAGGAAGUAGCCAACAAUUUUACAAACCCAUGGGAGUUUAGGUUGUAAUAAGAAAACAAUUGUGUCCAACAAUAGAGUUGCAGGUGUGUUAGAGUUCACAGGUGCAGCCAAAAGUUGAUUCCUCAAUUGGUUUCUAUCAAGAACAACAUCAAGUAAGAAUAAUUCGGAGGAAAAAUAAAGGCAACUUAUCAUAUAUAUAAAUAUGAUUAGUCUGAAUUCGUUUGCGGAAGGUAAAAAAACCUUUAUGUCAAUUAUAUAUAUCUGAACAAAAUCUAAGAAAUAUAUCACUUUUCAACAAAAGAAAUAUAUCAUAUACAAUUAAAGGAUCAUAGCAUAGAAAGCCAACAAAAUCAACAAUGAUAGAUCAAACAUCUGUUUUUCCAUUCAAAACGUUAAAAAGGAUAAGUUUUUAAUAAGGAAUGUUGAAAUGGAAAAAACUAAUUACCUAUUAUGGUGUACAAUCUGGAUGCAAGCAUAUGCAAAUUUCUUAACUCUGUAAUCCACUAAGGCCUUGUUAAGUACAUAAUCCUUGCUAGCGAAAAUGCUCAACAUAUCCCCUAUAUAUGUAAGAGAGAGAAAGGUUAGAAAGUACUAACACUAAGAGAUAUGUGCUAUCAAUUAGAAACACUUUAAGAUGACAUUAUCAAUUAGAAAACCAAGUAUUAAGCAACAUAAGGGAAAAUAACAAACAAGGGCACCACAGUGGUUCAGAAACCAAUCAAUAUUUCCAUUUGUCACUUUUAUAAUAAUUUCCCAAGGGAAAAUCCUCAUAAUAAGCUUGAGUACCACCUAAUAACGUGUUCAAAUGUUACCAUAAGCAAAAAUGAGUGAUCCUAAAAUUCAUAUGACAAGGAAAGUCGUCAACUAGCAACCGCCAAAUAACAGUUAUAUGGCUAGAAUUAGUUUUCUCCAACUUCAAGAAAAUAAAACAUAUUAAAACAAAAGGAAUUAUGGUGCAAAAUAAUGAAUAUGCUGCAAAGGUAAGAAGUUUCUGAAGGUAAAAAUGGUCAAUAAAAAACAACAUAUAAUUUGACGUAAAUCAAAGUAGAAUUAUUUCUCGCAAUGAAUUCUCUGCCAAUAAUGGCUAAGAGAAGGGGUAUUUAUUGAGAAUUAGUUGGCCAGGCAGAAAUCAUCUAGGGCAUAGUAUUGUUUUAGGUCUGCGACAUUAAAAACAUAAUGAAUGUGUAAGUCUGGUGGUAGUUCUAUUUUGUAAGCAUUAUCUCCGAUCCUCUUUAGGACACGGAAUGGUCCUAAUUGUCUGUCUUUUAGUUUGUUGUAUGUUUCGGUUGGAAAUCGAUUUUUUCUUAGGUGAAUCAUUACUAAAUCUCCCUUGGUAAAGGUAGUUUGUCUUCUUUUUCUGUCUGUUGCGUCUUUGUAGGACUGAGUUGUUUCUUUUAGGUGAUUGUGGACUUCUUCGUGUAAAUUCUGGAUUUUUUCUAUCAUCUUUUCUGCCUCUGAUAGUUAGGGAACUCAACACAUUUUACUUGACCUAACCAAGAUGGCUCUUUGUAUGUAUAUUGCAUGUGUUGUUUGUUUUUUUCUAUAGCUCUUGAUUGUCUCACUUUUUUACGUUUUGCAUUUGCAAUUCUCUUUUCUUUCUUUGGUAUGCAAUGUGGUAACAAGGUCUUGCUAGAACCGGUGGGCUAACCUUUCUAUGGUUCUAAACUUAGUUUCUAAGUUUGACUGCUCCCUUCGGAGUGACAACAAGCCUCGUUUUUCUCCCUACUAUGGAACGGGGAGGAUUCAUUUUCUUUUCAAAGCCCUCGUCAAACUCAAUGCUAAGUUUGACUGCUCCCUUCGGAGUGACAACAAGCCUUGUUUUCCCCUAAUGUGGAUCGGGGAGGAUUCCUUCUCUUUUCAAAGCCCUCAUCAAACUCGAUGCUGUGUUUAGAACGCUAAGAGUAGGUGGUCUGGUUUUGGUUAGGCCAAAAGUGAAGUUUUCCCCCAUUUUUUAUGGGCUUUUUCUAAUGUAUAUUGGAUAUGUUGUUUGAUUUUUUUUAUAGCUCUUGAUUGUCUUACUGUUUUAUGUUUUGCAUUGUCAAGUCUCUGUUUUCUUUCUUUGGUAUGCAAUGUGGUAACUAGGUCUUGCUAGAACCGGUAGGCUAACCUUUCUAUGGUUCUACAUUUAGUUCCUAAUUAAGUUUGAUUGCUCCCUUCGGAGUGACAAUAAGUUUUGUUAAUGUCGACCCUUUUCUAAAGGGAUUUAGUUCACUGUGGCUAGGCAAGAGGUUUCUAACUCAUGUUUGACAAGACAAAUUUGUUAAAACCAUCUUAGUUUCUAAAGAGUGCCUCCUAUCCCUUUUUUACUCUAUCUAGGCUAGGUUUGGACUAAGUGCAUCAUAGGUAAGUCACGACAAAGCAACAAAGGAAGACAAAGCUAGAAAAGUAUUCAUGCACUUAUUUAUUAUACAUGCAAUCAAGCAUUCACAACAUACAUACCAUUUUCUCAAUCAUGCAUUCACACCUCAAUAAGAAAUAGCUAAAAGGAGCUUACAACAAAAAAGACAGCCGCUUAUUCUCAAAUUUCAGCACAUAUACUCAUCAAAAUUUAGAAUUUCACAUUGCAAACCCGAGCUCAGUGCUCAAGGGUUGCCAAUCAUGCUUUUUAUGCAAGAUCUAAUUAAGCUAAGAAGGUAUAAUGCUCAUUUUGUAUGGAAAGAAUUCUGAAAUUUUUUUUAAAUUUGGGCAAAAUUUGAACCCCGAAGUUUAGACUAAACAUGCAAGCUAAGCAAGCUAUUACCCACACCCACUCAAAAAAUUGCUUUGUCUGUCCUAAAAGCUUUUGAAAAUCAAAGUAAAUGGAGAAAAAUAAGGGGGAACUUUGGACUCCCCUAGAAGGAUCGACAUCCUUGACUUUGGUUUGAAGCUUGCAUGGAUAAACCUUUUCAUUCCUUUUUAAUUGAUUAUUCAUCCUUGUUCCUGAAAAUCAAAGGAAAUUCUCUCAAUUUUAUAUAUUACUAAAAUUAGGAUACAUAUAAGUCUUAACUAGUCUAAUAGCACCCUCCAUUCAUCUUCCCCUACACUGGCUAUGGUAUCAAAAUUUUCAAUUAAGUAAUACGUCUACUAACGAACUUGAAAACAAAACACAUCACACUAAAAAACACAAACAUCACUUUAACCCAACAGAAGCUGCUCUUUUUACCCUUGCACUCACUAUCACAUUACUAUCAUGUUUGUCAACUGUCAAACUAACUCUUUUAAGUUAUUUAGUGUGACUACAAAGUUAUGAACACCAUAAUCUUAAUUAAAACCUUUUAAUAAACAAAUGCCAAGUUACUACUCAACAAUGGCAAGGAAUUCAAAAAACAUGACUGUAACGACCCAACUUUUCUAGGUAAGUCGAAGUCAUUAAUUUCAAAUAAGGACCUGAGUUUACACAAAAUCUCAAUCUCAAACAAUUUCAAAGUCUCAAGAAAAACAAAAAUUUAUACCUGGGCCCGGUUUAAAAUAACCAGCACCUUCAAGACAAAUUUACUAAUUCGUGAAUACAGUUCAACUAUAAAAUUUUCUAAACAAUCUCAAGUACUAAACAAAACACGUGAAACAAAACAUUUAGCGGAAGCAAUUUAAAAUAACCCCUAUGGCAAUCACGCUUCCUUUCUGCCCCUCGUCGGUUUGCCGUCUUUAUUACCUUUGCCUGAAAAUUAAACAUAAGGAGGGUGAGUAUAAAAAUACCCAGUACGAGACCCUCUACUGGUCCCGUCAGGGGAAAAUAAAUUGUUAACAUUCUAUUGGGACACCCUGUACAGUCACAGUCUUGUGAUCCCGUAGGAGGCACAUUUCAGUCUAACGCCCCGAGGGACGUACAUUUCAGUCUAGUGUUCUGCAGAAACACAUAUCAGUCUAAUGCUCUUGAAGGUGCAGAAUAAUUGGUGAUCCGUGUGACACCUACAAGGCACACAUCCCAAUAAAAGCUAACAAUUUUUCCCCUCAGUCCAUUCUAAACAUCUUAACAGUCAUUCACAGAUCAGUUAAACAUUCUCAUCACGUAAACUCUUUAUUUAACCUCAAACAGUCGUCUUACUCUAGUUUAGUCCAAGGUCAAUAAAAAAACAUAUCAUUACAUCAGUUAACAAGCUAAACAAUCAUAACCUCCUCCUCAGUCACCAAGGGCACCACCAUGACGUUUCUUCCGUUCACAAGCACACAACAUAACAGUAGAUUAUACACUCAGUCUAGACAACAAUCAAUCUACUAAUCAAAUCCACACUUUAUAUAAGCAACAUCUACGAGAUUCAGUCGUUUCCACAUCCUUAUCUUUGUACACAUACAUAACUAGACAGUCACAACAUAUACUCAACCACAGUCUACAUCAAUCCAUGCACAUAUAUGUAUUAAUUUCUCCCAGUCAAACAUAGCAAACAUUAAACUUUAAGUCAAUGCCCAAACAUACAUCAUAACAGUCAUCUCUACUCAGUUCAAAUCAAUACAUCUUAAUUAGUCAUUAUAUAUUAAUUUUGUUGUUGAGUCUAGUAGAAAAUCCCUUACUUUCAAGUUAGUUAAGCUCCUUAACCACGUUGAAGUCUACGAAGAACGAACCUAAACAUUAAGACAAUUUCUCAAUAAUUCUCUUCAACGCAUCAAUCAUUUAAAUUCAACCCAAUGUGAUUUUUUUUUUACAACUUACCCAAAUCUUCACAAAACGAGUUCCAACUAGAAUCAAUUGUUUGCUGCGAACCCAAUGAAUUCGAGUGUUACCUUCAACCUAUAAUCGAACAGUAAACUAUUUAUCCAACCAAUUAAUCCAGCAAUAUUACUUGAGUUUAUUUUGGAAACAGUUACAAAUUUCAUAACUUCAAUCUUACCAAUCAAAAUUUAAUGACUCGUGGCAAAGCAGGAACGACAGCGAACAACCCAAUCGAAUGGCGUGGGUUUGCUACCUGCGGCAGGACGAAGAAGGAACUCGACGCGCAGAAAGUUGGAUCUGGGGUCUUUAGUUCGGUUCACGGUAGCGAAUUAAAACCUGAUUGCGCGGACGUCAAAGGUGUUAUUCGCGGAAGAAGUCGAGCAGCAGCUUUGCGAAGAGACGACGUGCGACGGAGAGACUGUAUACAGACGGACGGAGAGUCGCGCGGCAGUGCAGAAAACGGAGGAGAAAGGAAUGGGCGGCGGCUGGGCUUGGCUUCGACGGAGACAGAGGCGAUUAGGACGGGGCACGGCGACGCAGAUCUGGACGACGGCGCGGAGACAGAGGUUGCGCGGCGCUGGGCAGAGGGUCAAACGGCGCUGGGCGAAGGGUCACACGGCGCUGGGCGGAAGGUCACACGGCGGCCUUGCUUCGCGAACAGAGAUGGCGGCCGACGGUUGCAGCGGCGGCUGGGUAUGGUAGAAAAGAAAGAGAAACGGAAGAAGAAUAGGGGCGGCGACCGUGGAUCGGAGAAGAAAAGAAGGAUGAAAGCGAUGGUGGUCGGUUGGAGGGUGCGGCUGGAGGUAGGGAUCGGUGAAGGAGAAAAUAGAAAAAGAAAAUGAAGGGGAAAUGGGGGUUGCGCGCGGGAGGAAGAAGAAAGGAAAAAAAAUUCUUUUUUUUUUUUCUUUUCUUUUAUUUAAAUUAAAUAAUAAAACUAAAAUAUAAAUAAAUAUAUAUAUAAUUAUAUUAUCACAUUUUCAAAUCUUCUUUCUCCCCCUUCAUCAUAUUUUCUUCAAAAAAAUAAAUCUUGUACAAAUCGAAUAAUUUUCUUAAAAUAAAUUACCUUCGAGUUUGGGGCGUUACAAUGACAGCUAUAUUGUAACUUGGCACUUGGGGACUUUAAUGGUGUCAAUAUUGUAACUUCUGGUGCCAUGACAAAUAUUGGUGACUGUCAAGAUAAGUUCGCAUAGCCACCGAAAGAUACAUCGUUGCUUUUGAAGAAUGACAAGACUCUAAAUGAUAUAUGCAGCAUUAUUUUGGUUAUAUCCAAUCUUCUUUGAAGGCUAUGUACUUGAAGAUUUUAAUCAAUAAAUAAAAUGAAGUUUAAUUUUUAAAAUAAUAACAUUACAAUGGGAUGGCGAUUGGAAUUGAUUACUUUGGUUAAAAUUUAAGAUUAGAUUAAAAAAAUCAAUUAAUAGAUAAUUCCAUCCAAUCAAAAUAACUAAAUAAAAGACGAGAUUUGAAAAUAUAAUAUCCUAAUAGACACUAAUAGACUUAUAUUAAUAGAUAAUUUCCUGCCGAUGAAAAAUUACUAAAGUUGUACUAUAUUUUAUAAAUAUUUCAAAACAUUACAUAAACACUAAUUAAAGUUGGGUUUAGUAGCAAAAGGUUACAAAUUUAUUGACACCUUUUUUAGGAAAAAAAAUACCUUGACAUGAUGUAAACUAAAUUUGUAAUCAGCAUUGAAAUCUUUACUAUACUAAAUGGGCUCGUGGAGAAAAAAUUAUAUACAUCUAUUUUAUUCUUAAAUUGUCGAAAAAAAAUUAUAUUACCUUUUGUGAUCUAACGUAGUUGUGACUUUUAUAGUGUAAGUGUCCAUUUUAAUGUUUGGAAAGAUGAUUUUUCCAAUUUUUUAGUUUACAAAAUAAAGUUCUAUAUUUCAUAAAAUAAAACCUUAUGUUGAAUAUAUGUAACUAAUGUUGAUAGGAUGUGAUUGGUUGAUCUUCAAGAUACGAUGCAUUCUGUUUAGAGUGGAGAUGGUUGCACACACAUCAAAUUGGUGCAUUGAUUCCUCCAAAUUUACAUGUGAAAUGUAAAUGUAAAAGAAAAACAAAACAAACUCUUGCAGUUACACAUUAGGAAAAAAAAACGUCACGAAAUUCCAAAGUUCAAAAGAAAACAAACAUACACAGGGAUUUAAUUGAUUCAAAGUAGUAACAAAUGGUGAAAAAAUGCAUAAUUUGUUGUGAUUUCACAUUAACAUGUUAGAAUAAAAAAUUAUCGUAUUCUAUAUAUUACAAUAUUGGAUCAAAUAUUAAUACAUUAAUUUAAUUAUUUAAUUACUACAUCAAUGAAUUUCUUUUUCUUUUUUAAAUAAUAAUUUUACCAUUAAUAUUAUAUAAUAUUUGUUUAUUAUAUGCUAAAGCAUAUUUAAAAAUUAAAUAGAAUUAAGAGAUUUCACGUGAAUUUAUGCACAUGUUUCAACUGAAAAGAUGGAAACAAUAGUCACAAAUUAUUUUUUCCUAAAACAAAACAUUCGUAACCAAAUCUAAAUAUGCACUUUCAUAACUAAGGACCAAAACUCAUAUUACGUAGAAUUGAGCAUGGUUUAAAUGAAAUUAUUAACAAAAUACUUACACUUUAAACCAGGUUUUUUGGCAACAUACAUAGUGAGAAAAUUCCAAAUUUACCCUCUUACUUGUAUCUUUUCAAUAAAAAGUGCAUCUUAGUUGUAAUUAUGUCAAAAUAAAAAUAAAAAAAUAACUCGUCAGUUAACGUGGUUAUUCAUUAAUUGAUUUGGGUGAACUUUCUGAAGAUAAAAAUAACAAAAACAAACAAACAAAAGACUAGAACAUGUUAUUUAAUUAUGUAAUUACAACUUCCCUUUCUCCUCCGUGAGAAAAAAAACCAUUUCUCUAAAUUUCAUCUAUAUAUGUGUAUUGAUCAAAUGACCCAUAUCAAUAAGGACACAAAAUUGGCAAAGAACAAAUAAAUUAAAAUGGACAAUAACUCUUGUUUCAUUACUUUCUCUCUCAUUGGAGUUCUUUUGUUCACCAUCAUUUCAAAUGUGGCAUCAUCUAACGACGUUGUUUCUACCAUCUGUUCAGAAAUCUCAAAUCCACAAUUUUGUUUAAGUGUGUUGAAAUCUGCAGGCACUACAGAUCUAAAAGGCUUGGCUGUAUACACCUUAAACCUUGCUCAUUCAAAUGCUGGCAAAUCUUUGAUCCUAGCCAACUCACUAGCAAAAGCCACCACCAAUCCUCAACUUAAGCAACGAUAUUCAUUUUGUGCUGAGAGCUAUGAUGAAGUUGUUGGUGACAUUGAAAAUGCUCAAAACGACUUGGCACUUGGGGACUUUAUUGGUGUCAUUAUUGCAACUACUGGUGCCAUGACAACUCUUGGUGAUCACUGUCAGAAUAAGCUCUUGCAGCCGCCGAAGGAUACAUCGUUGCUUUUAAAGAAUAGCAACACUCUAGAUGAUAUAUUUAGCAUUAUUAUGGUUAUAUCCGAUCAUCUUUGAGGGUUAUGUACUUGAACAUUUUGAUCAAUAAAUAAACUGAAGUUUAAUUUUUAAAAUAAUAUUACAAUGUGAUGGUGAUUGGAAUUGAUUACUUACUUUGAUUAAACUUGAGAAGAUAAAGAAAAUCAAUUAAUAGAAACGUUCACCGACACACAUUGUCAGCACGUCGGAGAAAGCCUAAACUUUUUUUUCUUUUCUUUUACGUUCUGUUUUCUUUUCUUUGUUUGCCAUCAUCAUCGUCAUCUUCUUCUUCUUCUAGCUUCUUACGUUCUGUUUCAAUUGCAUACUUCUGUUAUUCUUGUAAUUUCUUCGUGGUUUUCUUUUUAACUUUGUGUUUCAGUGUGGAUUCAUAAACACAUUUUUCAGUGCUCUGGAUUCUGGAUCUGUUAUGAUUUGAAAGGGUACAGUGAAGUGAAAAGUUGAAAUGGAAAAGAAAAAAAAGAAGAAAAGAGGACACUUCUCGCGGUGGUGGCGGCAAAGACUGACGUCGACGACAACACAACUCUCCUCCUCUCCCUAUAUCUCGGCCGAUUUUGGGUUUAUUUUCGUUUUGCAUUCUGUUAUGUGUAGAAGGGAGAAUAAAUAGUGUGGACUUUCCCCGACAUCUUCGAAAACGUUGGGAAAUUUACCUUUUCGCCGACGUAUGUAGUACACACGUCGGAGAAAGUUUAAAUAAUAAAUUCAUUAUUUAAACUUUCCCCGACGUACUCCUGUCAUACGAGUCUAAAUUAAAUUUAAUGCGUUCUCCUUCGGCGAUGUGUGUCAAGGUGACGUUGGAAAAAGUUUAAACACUAAUGCAAUUAUUUUAAAUCACAUAUGUUAUCGCUUAUAUGGCAUAAGAGUCUAUUAACGAUAGAAAUCUAUCUUGAUAGGUUUUGCUACAUUUACAAUUUUUAAAAAAUAUUCUUAUAUACUUAACUAUUAUUCCUAAAAUUGCUAACCCAUUAUACUUACCCUAAGUUAAAUGUAUAAUGUCAAAAGUAAGUUUACUACGAAGGUAAUCUAUGUGACCCUUUUAUCCUAACGUAGGAAGUUUGUUCCACUCCAUACCAUUAUUGAACUAAAAGGAUUAAGUGUGUAUUAAUAUGUUUAAACAAGUAUAAUUAUAGCAAAAUCUAUAAGUGAUAUAUUGAUAUUAGCAAUACAAUACGCGUCACAUAUGCAAACAUUUUGUGUCUAAUCGUUGUAUUUACAAUUAACUCCAUUAAAAUAUUACAAAUAGAAAUAGAACUCUUUAAUCUAUGUUCAGUUAGGAUCACAAACUACAAAAUGAAAGCAUGGAACAAAUUUAAUUUUUUUUUUCUUUAAAGGAAAUUUUGUGUGUAGCACAUUAUAUUUUUUUCUUUCCUUUAAAAAACAUUAUUGAUCUUAUGAUAUUUGACAUAUAUUAUAUUUUUUUAAGAAUGUAAAUAAUGUAAAUAAUGUGCCAAAUAAUUGAAAACAUGUUAUCCAAAACAGAGAAUGGUUAAGAAAUUGUUGACAUUUAGUCAAAUUAAUAAAUAAUUCAAAAUUGUGUUUGAUUUUUGAAUUUGAAAAGAUAGUAAAUUAGAAGUGUUUUGAAAUAGUAUUUACGAGAAGAUUUUUAAUUUUAAAUAGCAUUAUAGUAGCUAUGGAUGGUUAUAUAAUAGUCUACACAAUCUUUGUCACAAAUGAUUAAUUCGAUUUUUUAAAUCAAGUCUAAUGUUUUUUUUUUUUUUUUUUGCCUAUUUCUUACCAUAAUUUACAUUUUUUGUAAGUAUAAUGGUUGAAUGCAAAAAGAGAGCUGACUAGUAAGUGCAAAAAGAGAUCUCACAAGCUUCUGCAAAAGCUAAUCAAGCAACCCAAAUCAUAAACGAGGAGAAAAGUUGAUUGGUUAAGCUUUGUUGUAGUAAAGAAGUCAAAGUGAACAUGGAACGUUCUUCACUCUCAAAGAACAUCGCCAACAUAUAGAUUAUAUACUUUUUCUGGUAUUGACCCAAAAAACACAAUCCAAGUGUAUUUUUGGUGAGAUGCAUAGUUUAACUAAACCGUGUUAUUACAAAAUUUUUAAUUACUAGGAACUCCUAAUGAAACGAAUACAUUAUUUUUAUAAUUACGAGGUAAAAUGGAAACAUACAAACUACUAAAAAAAGUUGCAAUUCGAUUAUUGGGAUUCAAUCUACUCUCCAUGAAUGUUCUUGAAAUGAGAGUUUUUAAGCAGCUACAACUUGCUUAUGUAUAAAAGCAAAACCCUUCUCAACGCCUACCUUCAGUUUUGGCUUUAGAGCUUCAAGUGAUUUUUGCCCCUACUCAGAUAAACCCUGAAGAUCAGAUGUUACAAAGGCUUCAAUUCCACAUGCAAAAAUCAUGUUCAUGAACCAAAAGCACCUUAAGCUUCUCUUCGAUAUCUUUGAGCUCACUGGAUAAAGAACUGAUUUCUAAAGCAAUCAUCUCUACCAUAUCCUCAUCGUUCCCACUGUCUUUUAAUAAGGUUGGCAUGAUAAUCACAACAAAGAAGAAGAAACUAAGAUCAAUUUAACAAAUUUUAUGUUGGGAAACUUUUUUAAGAACAACUACUUAUAAACCAACCUUAGCUUUGGCCUCACAUUCCUUGAAUUUUCUAAAAGUAGAUACCACCUGUCCGGGCAACCCACACCAACCAACCAAGAGUAAGUUAGUGUGAAAGACACUUAUUUAAUGAAGAAUAUGUAAAAGAGGUCAUUCCAACUGUUACACAUAAUAGUAUUGGAGGCAGAUAACCUUGCCAUACCUCAUCAAGUUCUGAUAUUGAUUGAGCUAGUUUUUGAUACUCUGUGGGGUUUGAGACAAUAUCUGGAUUGACCAGCUUAACCUAAAUAAUAAUAUCGAUAGUGAUUAUUGUGUAGGAAAAUAUUAAAGCUAUAACCAAAUCAAAAGCAUAAUUGGAAAUACAUCAAAGAUGUAAAUGCAAAUUUCAAAAGUGGAUCUACAGAAUGUAAGGGGAAGAAACUCAAAUAAAAUUACUUUAUUAGUUAUACGACUACUAUAGAGAUUCCAGAUACACCACAGUUCCACGUCCUCUUUCAGGAGGAAAGCAAUGGUUAAAAAUUAAUUGUGAAAACUAAAGAAGGUCCUGUUCAAAUCCUAACAGCAAUAGGAAAGCAAGGAGUUAUAAGGUGAUCACUAUAGCCAAAUCCAAAAUGCAUUCAAUAUUUGUCUUCCAAUUUCAUUAUCAAGUGCAUAGGCAAGGUCCCUAGUGAGGAAGUUAUUCGUUCUUUUCUUCAUUUUCUAUAGCUCUAGAAGUAGCUAAAUGGAAUCGUCAAGCACCUAAUCUAUUAAUUUUAAAACUCAAAAGUUCACCGCGGGAUUCUAGUCACUGCUGAAACAACAUAGAGUUCACUAGUUCCACAGUUAAAUUAAUUGCAAAUUGCAUUUCCUGGCAUUUUCAAGAAAAAAAAAAUGCACAAAUCAUAAUAUGAUGAAGUAGAAAAAUUUUGUGAGCUCGACUUUUCCAGGACAUAUCUUAGCUACUUCUCCUAUUCCAGCUCGAUAACCAUUGUACUUUAACAAUUGAAACAUUAAUCCAAUAGUUAACAAUGUUCUGCACUUUAUGCCCUUACAUUUCCAACAACUUGAUGCAUACAUCAGUAGUUAACACAGGCACGAGCUCUUAAAUUCAAUGCAAAAUAACAGUCCCAUUCCAAGCAUAGACACCAAAUACAAACAAUUGAUGGACUUGAAUCAGUGAAGAAAUAAGAAUGUCAUUUAACAGCAAAGCACAAAUUACCGAUAAUUUUUUCCACGUCUUCUCAGCAGAUUCCAAUUUCACGAUCAAAUAAGGUUCCUAAAAUAAAGCAAUCACCAUCAUCAUUUUCCACAAAUAUGAUUCGAACUAGUUUUACCACAAAUUAAUUUCUAGUAACUUGAAGAAAAACUCAGUGAACUCAAAGCAUAACGAAACUCAAGUUCUGUUAAAGCCAAUCCGAACAAUAAGAUAUAGACAUAUUGUGUUCUCGAAAGAAAAACAUUCAAUAAAUCUAACAGCCAUGCAAAUUAGAGUUGAAGCUCUAAAGGGAGGUGCAAAGCAUUUAAGUUCCAGAGAGCAUCUUCUGAAGGCGAUGAGCCCAUAAGAUGAAAAAAAGGCCUCAAGUGAGGAAGAAAGACGCCAUCCAAACAUGAAAAAAGGAAGAAAGGCAAGAUUUUGGUAGCUCCAGACCUGAGGGAAGCCAACAAGGUGGCGAGGGAGGCAAGGCCCCAAAGUUUAGCAUUGCCAGCAAAGUGAAGGUAGAGAAGGACCUUUCCUUUCGACGUGGCCCUCCGAGAGUUUAUGGACGCCCCAAUUGGGGCGUUUGGAUGGAGUAAGUUCUUCAAGGGACUUCCAAGAUUCGAUGGAGGUUGUCAAGAAAUUCUACGCAUCAGAUUACAACCACUACAAGGAAUUUCAGAUCAACCAACACAAUUUAACACUAUUGGGAGAAUCCACGAAUUCUUGGUCAAGUAGAAGAACCUCCAUGUGGAAGAAACAAAUUGUGAACGUGUCGAAGACCUUGAAGUGUGGAAAUGGAAGAUCAAAGAGUUCCAGCUUCGCCAGUCGACAGGGACGUCAACUGUUUAAGUAGGGGAGAAUGUCAAGAGCAUGCUUGUCCAAGGCAUUGUUUGCCCAUGGCCGCAUGGCCGAACAUCCUCAAACCGCCUUAUAUUUAUGUCUUAUACUUAGUUUAGCCAUUUUGUUUCCUUUUGUUGUCGCCGACCUAGGGUGUGACGUUUCAAAAUUUUCAUAUGCAAGUCUGUCAUAGCUAAAAAUGUUUAAAAUGUACUAUAGGGAAGACAUAGUAGUUGAAUCCCUGACCAAGCCUUGUUGCACUCUUUGCAUUCUAAUCUUUCUUUGCAAUUAACAGUCUUCAAUGCUUUCUUUAACGAUGUUUUCAAUUCUUUUCUUCUCUUCUUGUCUUAUAAAAAUAAAUUUCUCUCAAAACAUGAAAGAGGCUAUACCGUACUGCGUGCUUUUUGCGACUUCUGGAUUUCAUACAGCUUACUUGUUCACCGAGCUAGAACAAACGUCGCAUAAUCACCAUCCCCUAUUUGAAAAUUUACGAUUAUGACAGCAUGCGGUGAGGUGCACGCGGCAUGUGUGGGCCCAAGCCAAGCAUGCAACUGGCAUUCUGAUACUCUAUGCACGUGCAUGCUGCCUGCGCCCAUGCCGUGCAGCCAGCAUUGUCAUGACGUAGUUUUUGGGAUGUUUGGUGUUUUGGGAAAUUUUGAGCAAAUUCUGGAUGUUCGAGCAUGCGGAUGUUCUAUGCAAUGCAACCAGCAGCCCAUAUGUUCUAUGUUCUCUUUACGGUCGUAUGUGCACAUUUGGUUAACUCUACUACUAAUGGGAAAGUUGACGAGCCUAUGCUGAAUUCAUCAGGAAAGGUGUACUUUGUUGAGCCCAUUGAGGAGAAGGAUACCUUCUUUUUUCGAAGAGGUGUUUCAAUGCCUAGGCCGUCUUUUGACAAUGAGGUGUUAAUAUUACCUAGACUUCAUGCUAAGAACGGGUUGUGAAUUUAUAAUCAAGAAUGCAGUUCGAGUAUCAUGUCUUUCAAAUGAUUUCCAACAGCUUGAAUGUUUCUAUAAGACAAGAAUUUAUGCUUAACUGUUUUAGAAAGCAUGUUUUAUAAAAAUUGUCACUCACUAAGUCUUUCGACUUAUCCUUUCAAAUCAUUUCUCACUUUUCAGGUAUGGAUUAUGCAUUCCCUAAUGUUAAGCGUAUUGCUGCUGAGCCAACCAGUUACUAGAAAUUGUUAAGUCAUUUUGAAAGUUAGUUUUGACUUUGUAAGAAAAGUUCAGGAUGAGCAUGUCUAUGUUUAUUGUUAAAGUUCCAAUGUUAUAAGUUAGUUUAGUAAAAAGGUCACUGUCAUGUUUAAAGCUUCUGCUGAUGUAUCACAAUAGUUGUAACUAGUGGUUUAAGUUAUUAGUAAAAGCAUGUAGCUUGUAUCGCUGUUUGUUUUGAGCAUGCAUUCAUGUUGUAACUGGUAGUUAAGUUAGAAAGGUUAGUCGGUUGGUAAGUUUUGCCAAGGUAUGGCAAUCCUUGCCAACCCUCGCACCUUCUUUCAGAGCUAGAUGUUGUUCAGAAAAUAAGGAGCUUUGGGAGGGGGUGGUGACAACAACACCAUCCCACUAGAGUACGCAAUGAUGCAUUAUUGUUUAAUUAAGUCAUAUAUACUUCCACAAUUUGGAUAGGAAUUUAACUCAUUAGAAGGUGUCCUAUAGAAUUUCUCAGUGAAAAGUUCAGAGAAGCUACAAACAAAUGUCACUACCGAACAACAAUCAUAUACAUGGGUUAGGGCUUUGAGCAGUGUGAACACAACUUAAUAAUAAAUAUGAAGUCGUCCUCUUUUCAUCAUUAGUCAGAAGAAUUCUUAAACUUUCUAAAAAUAAUUGUCAAAUAAUUGAUUAUAUAGUAUGCCAUUUAUUUGGAAUACAAUUUUUUCAUUACCAGGAAAGGAGACUUCUCACUAAGUAAAUGUAAAGAGACUAAUGCUAUAAUUUGAAUUGGAAAAUAUAAUUUCAUAAUUAAGCAUCGAAUAGGGACUAGUUAAGAAGUACACACUUUAGUUUGCCAGAGUCCAUGUUCUACACAUGUUAGCCACUCUGUCAUUGGUUUAGCAGUAAAACAAAGGAUGUGUUUAGGAUGUGAGCCACACAAAAGGGAAAGAAAACAGAAGGCGCAGUGAGCCACACAAAAGGGAUCGAAACGAAUGUUCAGAAAUAUCGGAAGGAUCGAAGAAAUAUGGAAGGAAAGACGAGGAAAAAACAACAGACCGGAGCAAGUUCAAGAAGGUAGAGAUCCCGAUCUUCAAUGGAAUAGACCCCGAUUCAUGGUUAUUUCGCGCCGAUCGUUAUUUCAAGAUACACAAGUUGACUGACUCAGAGAAGUUAAUGGUAGCGGUAAUCAGUUAUUAGGACCAGCUUUGGAUUGGUAUAGAUCAAUUGAUGAAUUGGAACAAUUCAAGAGUUGGGAAGAUUUGAAGCAAAGGUUGUUGUCCGAUUUCAGACGAUUCGGGAUGGAACACUCGUAGGCAGAUUCUUAAGGAUUAAGCAGGAAACGACAGUAGGGGAAUAUAGAAACAGUUUCGAUAAAUAUUUAGCUCCGGUAGCCUUCCUCCAGACCAUAGUAUUAGAAGAAACCUUUAUGAAUGGGCUAAGCCCAUGGCAUAAAUCCGAAGUUGAAACGCUGGAGCCCAUAGGUUUGGCCAAGAUGAUGUAACUAGCCCUGAAAUUGAAAAUAGAGAGAUGGUUCGUCGAGAAUGUGGGCUUAGUAGUGUUUCGGGAAUGAAUCAACAAUUCAAGCAUAAUAACGUAAAGCAAACCUCGACAGUAACACCCAAUCAGAAACCCACGGAAGGGAGCUGGCCAAUGAGAACGAUUACGUUAAAAAGAGUGACGGCAGAUGAAAAGAGGAGGGAAGGUCCGACCAAGCGUCUUUCCAACGCUGAAUUUCAAGCACGGAGGGAAAACGGUCUGUGUUUUCAGUGUGAGGAGAAGUAUCACGCUGGACAUAGGCGUAAGGUGAAGGAACAGAAGGAAUUACGGAUGUUAGUAGUAAAGGAAAUGGGAGAAGAACUGGAAAUCAUUGAGGAUGAACACUUUGAUGUGGAAACGGAGGCCCAGACCAUUGAAAUUGAAAAAGUGGAGAAUAUGAAUAUAGAGCUGUCCAUUAACUCAAUUGUGGGGUUAUCCAACCCUGGAACCAUGAAACUGAAAGGGAAGAUAAAAGAGACCAAAGUGGUAAUAAUCAUCGACAGUGGAGCCACCCACAGUUUUAUUGCAAAAAAUUUUGUAACCACCCUUAGCCUACCAAUGACAGAAACGUCCAACUAUGGAGUGAUUUUGGGAUCAGGGGUUGCGGUCAAAGGAAAAGGAAUCCGCAGUAAUGUUGAAGUGACGGUAGGAGAGUGGAAAAUUACAAACAACUUUUUACCCUUGGAAUUAGGGGUGGUUGCACUCAUUGGGCAUGACUGAAUUUGAUAUGAAAAAUUUGGUGAUGACAUUCCGACAUGGAGGAAGGAAGAUAGAGAUAAAGGGGGACCCUAGUGUCACCAAAACCCAAGUGAGCCUAAAGUCUAUAAUUAAGACAUGGGGAGCUGAUAAUCACGGUUAUUUGGUAGAAUGUCGGGCCAUGGAGGGAAGGCUAGCUGAGGAAGGCUUAGAGGAUGAAGAAGUGCCAGCCACUGUUGACAACAUGAUCUCUCCUCUGUUGAGCAAAUUUAAUGAUGUUUUUGAUUGGUUGGAAGAGCUGCCUUCGAAGAGGAACAUUGAGCACCAUAUACCCCUUCAGAAGGGGGUGGAUCCAGUUAAUGUCAGACCUUAUCGUUACGCACAUCGGCAAAAGGAGGAAAUUGAAAGACUAGUUGAUGAAAUGUUGAAGACAGGCAUCAUAUGACCGGGUACCAGUCUGUAUUCCAGCCCAGUCCUUCUCGUGAAAAAGAAAGAUGAUAGCUGGCAAUUUUGUGUAGAUUAUCGGGAGUUGAACAAUGUCACUAUCCCAGAUAAGUUCCCAAUUCCGGUCAUAGAUGAGUUAUUCAAUGAGCUGAAUGGGGCCAACAUGUUUUCGAAGAUUUAUUUAAAGGCGGGUUAUCACCAAAUCAGGAUGCAUCUGAGAGGUGUAGAGAAGACGGCCUUUCGAACACAAUGAGGGACACUAUGAGAUUCUUGGUCAUGCCCGUUUGAGCUAACCAAUGCCCCCUCUACGUUCCAAGCAUUAAUGAACCACAUCUUUAAGCCUUAUAUGAGAAAGAUUCGUAUUAGUGUUUUUCGAUGACAUUUUGGUGUACAACAGGGGAGUAGAAGAACAUGGACAGCAUCUGGAAGUAGUCUUGGAGAUCCUUCGAGAGAAUGAAUUGUAUGUGAAUUUAGCCAAAUGUUGCUUUGCCAAAAGUAGAAUAGGUUAUUUGGGGCAUUUCAUAUCCGAAAAGGGAGCUAAAGUUGAUCCAGAAAAAAUAAGGGCAAUUAGGGGAAUGGUCGAUUCCCACUAGUGUGCGAGAAGUUCGAGGUUUCUUAGGACUCAAUUGAUACUAUAGGAAGUUUGGGCAGAAUUAUGGCAGUAUCGAAAGCCCUUUGACACAGCUUUUGAAGACAGGAACUCAUUGUUGGACUGAAGAAGCAAGUGCUGCCUUUGAGAAGUUGAAGAUGGCAAUGAUGAUUCUACCGACGUUAGCUAUGCUGGACUUUAAUCUACCACUCGAGAUAGAAACAUAUGUAUCUUGUUUUGGUGUGGGGCCGUUUUAGUACAAGCCAAGAGACAAAUAUCCUUCUUUAGUAAAACCUUAUGCAUGUGGGAUAGAGCGCGACUGGUUUAUGAAAGAGAAUUGAUAAUAGUAGUGUUUGCGGUGCAAAGGUGGAGACCAUAUUUGUUAGGGAAGAAAUUUACAGUGAAAACUGAUCAGAAGUCGCUCAAAUUUCGGCUAGAACAAAGGGUGAUUCAACCCUAAUACCAAAAAUGGAUAGCCAAUCUUUUGGGAUAUUCAUUUGAGGUAGUCUGCAAUCCUGGAUUGGAGAAUAAGGCAGCCGAUGCUCUAUCUAGAACACCCCGUAUAGUGCACUUAAAUCAAAUAUCAGCCCCAACACUACUCGAUUUAGUGGUGAGUCAAGAAGAGGAAAAGAGGGAUCAAUACCUACAGGAAAUCCAGAAGAAAAUAGAAAGAACAAAAAGUGAAAGUUCCAAACUUUUCAGUACAGCAAGGGGUAUUGAAAUACAAAGGAAGGUUGGUGCUGUCAAAAACAUCCGUUCUACUACCCACUAUCAUGCAUACCUAUCAUGAUUUUGUCUUUGGAGGACAUUCAGGGUUCCUAAGAACGUACAAGAGGAUGACCGGAGAGAUUUACUAGGAAGGAAUGAAGAAAAACAUAAAGAAAUACUAUGAAGAAUGUCUUGUAUGCCAAAGGAAUAAAACACUUGCAUUAUUACCUGCUGGAUUGCUGCUGCGCACUUGAGAUUCCUAACACAGUGUGGUCGGAUAUUUCCAUGGAUUUUAUAGAUGGACUUCCAAAAUCAGCUGGAAAAGAAGUGAUUUUUGUGGUUGUAGAUUGUCUGAGUAAGUAUGCACAUUUUACAGCUAUAAAUCAUUCUUACAUGGCCAGCUUCGUAGCAGAAGUUUUUGUUAAAGAAGUGGUGAGAUUGCACGGUAGCAUGUAUCCGCAGUAAGUUGUAUCGGAUCAAGACAAAAUCUUUAUUAGUCAUUUCUGGAAGGAAAUGUUCAAGUUAGUGGGAACUAAAAUAAAUAGAAGGAAAUGUUCAGGUUAGUGGGAACUAUGCCCAUAUACACCAAGUUCGAAUAUAGAACUUGCUUCUUACUGAAAAAAUAAUGAUUAUGGGACUUGCUAUAAGGGUAUCCAAUACUCGAAGUAAAUGAAUGAUUACAAAAUGAUUGUUUCCUCAGUUUGAAGAAGAACAACAAAAAAGAAAAGAAGGAUAAAAAUAAAAAAAAAAACAAACUUUCUUUUUGAAAUUCUAAAAGAAUCCAAAAAGACUUCAAAAGGUGCAACCAAGAAAGGAGGUCAAAGAAGGGCUCUGAUAGACCCCCCUAUCAUACGUCAAUAUAGUCAAAAAAAAAAAGAGAGAGAUCACAAGGGAACACACAUGCGAAGAAGAAAAGAUUUAAAGGAUUGUUAGAAGAAAAGAUUUAAAAAGCUUGUUGGGCGUCGGUUAGAUUUGAGGAGAUUUAGGAGGGUCGUUAGGUGUUGAUUAGAAUAAAUAAGGAUAGGGAGGAAAGAGGAGGGUAUGCUGAGUUUAGAAGAAAAUUGACUCAUGCUCUUCCUUGAGCGAUAGGAUAGCAGAGAGGGAAUUAGAUUGUUUUUCGAAUUGAGUCCUCCUCAAUUUGAGUGUUCUGAUAUUUUGAUUUUCCUUGUAACUCAUUCUUUGAUUGAAGCAAUAAAAGUUCUAAUUGGAUUUCCAAAAGAGUUCUAUCAAAUUGGUAUCAGAGACAGUUUUUUCUGACCAAGAGGAAAAUGAUGGUCCAAACACGAAUGAAGGAGAGAAUGGAGGCGCACGACCAGGAGAUGCAUUUGAUGAGAAGCGAGAUAAGCAAAAUUUCGACAAUGAAAGAAAUAUUAGCCACGAUCAGCGUACAGACAAAGAAGACUCACAAAAUGUUGAUAAUGUUCAUGGAAUCGAUUACCAGAGAGCAUAUCGUUAUGAGUGAGAAAAUGGCCGAGUCGAGUGUGCGAGAGACAGUAUCAACAAUAACGAAUAAGAAGGAAGGCUCGAUCGAAAAGGACCAUGAGCACGAAACAAAGGAUGGAAAGAUAGAAGGAGAAGACGGAGCGAACGAGCAUAAUAAGUUCAAGAAGGUUGAGAUGCCAGUUUUCAACACGGAAGAUCCCAAUUUUUGACCCUUUCGAGCAGAUAGAUAUUUUCAGAUACACAAAUUGACUGAUGCUGAGAAGGUCCUGGUUGCGACCAUUAGUUUUGAAGGCCCGACGCUGAACUAGUAUAGGGCGCAAGAAGAACACGACAAGUUUACCAGUUGGUCGAACCUCAAGGAGAGAAUACUCAUCCGUUUUCAAUCAGCAAAAGAGGGGUCCAUAUGCGGACAAUUUUUUAGGAUCGGAUAACAGACGACAGUAGAAGAAUAUCGAAACCAGUUAUAUAAGCUGAUGGAACCGUUAUCCGAUCUACAAGACAGAGUGGUGGAGGAAACAUUCAUGAACGGUUUACUGCCGUGGAUUAAAGCAGAAGUGGAUUUUUGUCGUCCGGUCGACGUGGCUCAAAUGGUGCACGCGGCUCAACUCGUAGAAAAUCGAGAGAUAAUUCACAAUGAGGCCAACCUUAAGGGGUACGCCCAAGGAAAAUAUCCGCCUCAAGGUUCUAGGCAAAAUACGAGUGCUGCGACGGUGAACGAUAGCGACAAUAAGAGAAAUACAUUAUUUUCGAUGAGAACGAUUACUCUGAGAACGACAUCCAGAGAAGUUAAGAGAGGGGCAGGCAAAGCGAUUGUUAGACGCGGAGUUUCAAGUCAGGAAGGAAAAAGGACAUUGUUUCCGUUGUAAUGAGAUAUAUUAUCAUGAUCAUCGAUGCAAAAACAGAGGGCAAAGAGAGUUGAGAAUGUACGUGGUCAGGGCGAAUGAUGAAGAAUUUGAAAUCAUAGAAGAAGUGGGAGAAAAUGAAUUGUUUGGAAAUCACAUAAGAAGAUCAUGUUGUCAUCGAACUGUCAAUUAAUUCGGUGGUGGGGCUGAACAAUCCGAGGACAAUGAAGGUGAGGGGGAAUAUCAGUGAGCGAGAAGUUUUCAUUUUCAUUGAUUGUGGAGCAACGCACAACUUCAUCUCCGAAAAGAUAGUAAAGGAGUUACAACUGGCCACGAAGGCAACGUCGCACUAUGGUGUAAUCUUGGGCUCGGGGGAGGCGAUAAAAGGUAAAGGAGUAUGUGAGGACGUGGAAAUCAAGUUGAACGGGUGGAAGGUGGUGGAAAAUUUGUUACCCUUAGAAUUGAGAGGGGUAGAUGUUGUGUUAGGAAUGCAGUAGUUGUAUUCAUUGGGCAUGACGGAAGUAGAUUGGAGGAACCUCACAAUGACUUUUGUGCAACAAGGAGAAAAGGUAGUGAUAAGAGGAGACCCAAGUUUGACCAAAUCCAGAGUGAGUCUCAAGAACAUGAUCAAAAGGUGGAAGGAUUCGUGAUCGAGUGCCGAGCAAUGGAGAGAGUCUUUGAGCCACAGGAAGAUAACGGGAUUGAAGAAGUAUUAACUACUGAUGAAGCAGUAUCGGUCGUGUUGAAGAAUUUUGAAGAUGUUUCUAAUUGGCCGAAGACACUACCCCCGCAAAGAAAUAUUGAACAUCACAUUCAUUUGAAACAGGGCACUGAUCUGGUAAAUGUUCGACCCUAUAGAUACGCUUAUCAACAGAAAGCUGAGAUGGACAAACUUGUGGAUGAGAUGUUGACAGCUGGAAUUAUCCGUCCCAGCAACAGUCCAUAUCUAGUCCAGUUCUAUUGGUAAUGAAAAAAGAUGGCAGCUGGCGUUUUUGCGUAGACUACCAAGCGCUGAACAAUGUAACCAUUCCAGACAAAUUCCCUAUUCCGGUGGUUAAGGAGCUUUUCGAUGAAUUAAAUGAAGCAAACUGGUUUUCAAAGAUUGAUUUGAAGGUGGGGUACCAUCAGAUCAAAAUGUGUGGAGAAGACAUCGAAAAAGCAGCAUUCCGAACACAUGAUGGACACUAUGAAUUUAUGGUUAUGCCAUUCGGCUUAACUAAUGCCACAUCCACUUUCCAAGCUCUGAUGAACUCAACAUUCAAACCAUUUUUGCAGAAGUUCAUAUUAGUGUUUUUCGACGACAUACUAAUCUACAGUGAGAACUUGGAACACCAUUUGAAGCACAUUGGGUUAGCAUUGGAAAUCCUGAGAAAGAAUGAGUUAUAUGCAAACAAGAAGAAGUGCAGCUUCGCACAAGAACGUAUUGAUUAUUUGGGUCAUAUCAUUUCAAGACAAGGAGUUGAAGUGGACCUUGAGAAAAUCAGAGCAAUCACGGAAUGGCCUAUACCCAGUAAUAUAAGAGAGGUACGGGGAUUCCUAGGCCUCACCUGUAACUAAAGAAAGUUCGUUCAGCACUAUGGCUCCAUUGCCGCACCAUUGAUUCAACUACUUAGGAAAGGGGGAUUCCAGUGGACUGAGGAGUCUAAGGAGGCAUUCCAACAACUACAAAAUGCGAUGAUGACCCUGCCCGUUUUGGCGUUGAAAAAAUUUCAAUGCCACAUUUGAAAUGGAAACCGAUGCAUCGGGAUAUGGGGUAGGAGUCGUACUCGUCCAAGCCAAGCGUCCCAUAGCAUACUUUAGUCAUACGUUAGCCUCAAGAGAUAGAGCCAAGCCUGUACAUAAAAGGGAAUUAAUGGCAGUGGUCUUGCAUGUGCAACGAUGGCGACCAUAUCUGUUGGGGAGAAAAUUUAUUGUGAAGACCGAUCAGAAAUCCUUGAAGUUCUUGUUAGAACAAAGAGUGAUACAGCUUCAGUAUCAGAAAUGGGUAGCGAAGCUAACGGGAUACUCAUUUGAGGUGGUCUACAAACUCAGCUUGGAGAAUAAAGCAGUAGACGCCUUGUCUUGGAUGCCUCCUACAAUUAACCUCGGUAGCAUAACAGCUCCUACAUUGGUUGACAUUCUGGUGACUAAAAAGGAAGUCAAAGCGUAUGAAAAAUUAAGCAAAAUAAUGGAAGAACUACAAGCAAUGGAAGAAGUAACAGAGGGUAAAUUCUCCAUCCGACAAGGUAUGUUAAGAUAUAAGGAUAAGUUUGUGUUGUCCAAAACAUCUACAUUGAUACCCACAAUCCUACAUACUUACCAUGAUUUGGUACUUGUGAGGAAUGUGUAAUAUGUCAGAAGAACAAGUCCCUAGUGUAACGAGCAUACUUGUCCAAGGUGUGUUUACCUAUGGCCGUAUGCUCCGAUUAGCCCCAAUUUACCUUGUCUUUAUGUCUUGCACGUAGCUUAGGUAGUUGCUUUCAAUUUCAAGUCGAUAUGCUUGGGUGUGACGUUUCGGCAUUUUCAUAUGUUAAAAAUGUACUAUAGGGGAGGCAUACCUGUUGAAUCCCUGCCCAAGCCUUGUCGUACUCUUUGCAGUCUAUGCUUUCUUAUUGCAAUUGACAGUCUUCAAUGCUUGUUUUAACAACGUUUUCAAUCAAUUUAAUCAUCUUUCAUGUUUUCUAAAACUAUUUUUCCAAGAACGUGAGGGGAGGUUGAAGUAUGUGUUAAAGUUGUCUGCGAUUUGCAGAUUUUGAUCGGCUGACUUGUUCGCCGAGCUAGAACAAGUGCCGCACAAUCGUUCACAUCGUGUUUGAAGGGUUACACAGUAAAGGAAGAGUAAGAAUUUGAGUGGAGAAACUCCAAUUGGGAUCAACACGUGGGCAACAACAUGGCUUCUCACCAACAUGAGAACUCAAAAGAGACAGCAGAUAUUCUAGAGAAGCCAAUGAACUCUUGGGAUGUGAAUCUGCACUUUCCUGCAAUAGUUUGAGUGUGAAUUAGUUCUCUGAAAACACCUGCAGAGGAUAAUCCACGGCAAAACAGAAUAACUAUAAAAAAACCACUUGCAAGUAGAAGAAAAAGGAAGUACAUUUAUACCUUCCCUGUCAAAGUGAUAUCCCUCAUCAACGGAUAUGCAUUUCUUUCCAGGAAGUAGCCAACAAUUUUACAAACCCAUGGGAGUUUAGGUUGUAAUAAGAAAACAAUUGUGUCCAACAAUAGAGUUGCAGGUGUGUUAGAGUUCACAGGUGCAGCCAAAAGUUGAUUCCUCAAUUGGUUUCUAUCAAGAACAACAUCAAGUAAGAAUAAUUCGGAGGAAAAAUAAAGGCAACUUAUCAUAUAUAUAAAUAUGAUUAGUCUGAAUUCGUUUGCGGAAGGUAAAAAAACCUUUAUGUCAAUUAUAUAUAUCUGAACAAAAUCUAAGAAAUAUAUCACUUUUCAACAAAAGAAAUAUAUCAUAUACAAUUAAAGGAUCAUAGCAUAGAAAGCCAACAAAAUCAACAAUGAUAGAUCAAACAUCUGUUUUUCCAUUCAAAACGUUAAAAAGGAUAAGUUUUUAAUAAGGAAUGUUGAAAUGGAAAAAACUAAUUACCUAUUAUGGUGUACAAUCUGGAUGCAAGCAUAUGCAAAUUUCUUAACUCUGUAAUCCACUAAGGCCUUGUUAAGUACAUAAUCCUUGCUAGCGAAAAUGCUCAACAUAUCCCCUAUAUAUGUAAGAGAGAGAAAGGUUAGAAAGUACUAACACUAAGAGAUAUGUGCUAUCAAUUAGAAACACUUUAAGAUGACAUUAUCAAUUAGAAAACCAAGUAUUAAGCAACAUAAGGGAAAAUAACAAACAAGGGCACCACAGUGGUUCAGAAACCAAUCAAUAUUUCCAUUUGUCACUUUUAUAAUAAUUUCCCAAGGGAAAAUCCUCAUAAUAAGCUUGAGUACCACCUAAUAACGUGUUCAAAUGUUACCAUAAGCAAAAAUGAGUGAUCCUAAAAUUCAUAUGACAAGGAAAGUCGUCAACUAGCAACCGCCAAAUAACAGUUAUAUGGCUAGAAUUAGUUUUCUCCAACUUCAAGAAAAUAAAACAUAUUAAAACAAAAGGAAUUAUGGUGCAAAAUAAUGAAUAUGCCUGCAAAGGUAAGAAGUUUCUGAAGGUAAAAAUGGUCAAUAAAAAACAACAUAUAAUUUGACGUAAAUCAAAGUAGAAUUAUUUCUCGCAAUGAAUUCUCUGCCAAUAAUGGCUAAGAGAAGGGGUAUUUAUUGAGAAUUAGUUGGCCAGGCAGAAAUCAUCUAGGGCAUAGUAUUGUUUUAGGUCUGCGACAUUAAAAACAUAAUGAAUGUGUAAGUCUGGUGGUAGUUCUAUUUUGUAAGCAUUAUCUCCGAUCCUCUUUAGGACACGGAAUGGUCCUAAUUGUCUGUCUUUUAGUUUGUUGUAUGUUUCGGUUGGAAAUCGAUUUUUUCUUAG
rnacentral:lncRNA from 1 species